rnacentral:lncRNA from 1 species
CAACCUGCUUUUGACAAGAAGCAGUUUGUAACAUACAUGAAGAGAUUCAUCAAGUUGCUGACGCCCAAGCUGAGUGAGGAGAGGCAGGAGAUAUUUAAGAAGAAUAUUGAGGGAGCGACCAAGUUCUUGCUCUCGAAGCUCAGUGACCUUCAAUUGUAAGUGCCUCUUUAUAUUCUGUUGUGUCUUGAUGAAUUCAUAAAAUAUGAAGUAUUUUAUUGAUGUUUGCUUGUGUGCUCAUGACAGCUUUGUUGGGGAGAGCAUGCAUGAUGAUGGCUGUCUUGUCUUUGCUUACUACAAGGAAGGUGCGACCGACCCAACAUUUUUGUAUAUUGCUGAUGCAUUGAAGGAGGUGAAGUGCUAAGCCGGGCUUCGAAGAGGAAGUGCCUGCUGUAGUUCUAGUUUUAAUUAUUGCCCGCGGUUAUUUUUAUGUAUCUUUUGUACUGGUUUACUCGGGACUUGUGCUUGCUGUUUUUUAGUUUUUAUUUUGACAUAAACAAUAUGUUUUUCUGCUCCUAAUUAUUGGGUUUUAUGGUUUGAGAUUGAAUUACCAAAUAACUUAAUAGUUUUUGUUAUCUUCUUCCCUCUUCCGAGGCAUCAAUUCUCUGCCCUUUUUUUUUUUUUUUGUUUGGGGACCAAGUGAUGUCAACAAGUGGAAAUGGUGAGAGAAUAACAGAGCUUCUUUUCAAAGGAGCAUAACAGAAUAUGCCUUUAAUGAUUCUCUCUUAGUGCAAGAGUCUUUACCACAAAGAAAAAGUUAUUUUUGCACAAGGGAAUUUCUCUUGUUUUAGUAUACUGGGGGGAUUGUUUUGUAUUUUAUUCUCGCCGAAGUCGUUGCAUCAUAGGAACAAAAACGAGCACAACUAAAACUAAGAGGAUUAAUACAAAAGUGCCAAUGGACUUUAUUUAUGCUUUGCUGCUACUAAGAUUGGCUUAGUGCUUUGACUUGGGCAUCUUGACGAUCAUUACGGUGCACGAACAAUGGUGAGCGCUGUAAUCACUGACGCUGCCCAAUACCGCUCUGUAAUUGCAGAAUUAGGAUUUUCUUAUGUUCCAAACUCAAUUAACAGCUUAGAUUAGGUGACAAAUUUGAAAGUAGCGUAAAUUUUGUACCUUUUGACAGCUCCAUAACCAUGACUUCCCAGGACCAAAAUCGUUGGAUGGAAUCUUUCAACAGCUUCGGUCAUGACAUUCCUAGGAUCACCUUGCAUCACAUGCACUGGCAUAUCAUUUACCUGCAUUAAAAUAACAUUUUCGGCACCCAAUUCAUAUAAUUGCGUUAAUACGUUUCACAAGCAAAUCAAGUUUUUCAAGUGGUGAAAAAUGUCCCUAUGCGAGACAGAUCUUUUCUUUCCUUUUUUUUUUUUCCCCCAGUUACCUCUCUCUUGGCACAUAUUGAAGUGGCCUUAUCAGCGACCUUUUGUGCUCUCUUCUUCGUAUCAAGCUCCACAAGAUUAAUAACAUGAGCGGAUCCUGCGAUCAAUAAAUAACAAAAAUAGAACAAUGUUACAAAACGAAUAACUUAUGAUAAGAUCGUACAUAGACUAUGAUUUUAGAGCCCCGCACGCUUCCUUGUUUUUAUUUUAUUUUACUUUAUUUUUUUGUAACGCACAAUCUUAGAUCAUUGGGUUAGUUAUACGCUCACCGGCGCUGCCUUGUCCGGCGCCGGAUAGUCCGAGGAGAGAAGGAGGAUUCGGUCGUGCAUGAAUGAGCACGAGCUGAAAGGUAUGAUUCGGAGCAAAAGGAGGAAAGAAAUAAUCAAGUGCCCAUUCUAAUGCGUAGUAGCUAUGGUUACUAUCGUCAAUUGCUACCAUCAUUAUCGGUUUUGUUUGAUCACCCAUUAUUUGAUUGAUCAAUCAUACAAUCAAAUAAUUGCCUGUUCUUUCAGUUUCUCUCAGUUUAAUUUGUAGUGAGUAAAAUGAGAACAAAAACAAAAUAAAAAACAAAAUAAAAAACAAAGUGAUAUGCGGGUGGGUGCAUUGCUUUUCAAUUGUCGUGUGUUGUGAAGAACGUGUGGAUUUGGGAUCACUUGUUGAGUUUUGCGCAGUUGCCGUUAACUUUUUUCGGGCCCUUGACUCGGUUUAUGAAUUGAAGCCAAAACAAUUUAUUUACUUAUUAAUUUAGCAUUUGAAGAUUAUUUCAGUUUAAAUACAGUAAUAAAUUCUUGAUGAUAAAAAAAAUACAGCAACCAUAUCUGCAAGGGCCAUUCAUUGACUUAUAAAAAAAAUCCAAUAAUUUAAAAUUUUAAAUGUUGCAUCCACUGUUAACAGAAAAAAAAAAAGGAGAAAAUUUCUUCUUGGCAUGGACCAAUUUUUGCAUGAUUCUCUUAUGUUUUCCAAUAACCACUACUUUUCAAAAUGCAUUUGAAUUUGAUGAAGAGUGAGAACGCAACAAUAAUUUAUUUGUGACAUGUAAUAAUUAGGAGUUGGCUUUUACAGUUUUGUGAAUGUAAUACUACCAACAGAUUCUUAACUAUAAAUUAUUUAUACGACUUGGUUUUUGUUAAAUACUACGUUCUCUAAUUGGGAAUAGAACAUUUGAAAAUUGGAGAAAACGGAAAAGACCAUCCCAUCACUCCGAACUCUGUUCCGGGGAUCUUUCUGGAAAUCGGUGACACUAUGUAUUUUCUUUAGUAUUUCAGAAAGCAAUUUUGGCAGCACAUCAUCGCGUUUAUUAACUCCAGCCGUACAUUACCAAAAGAUCCAAGAAUUUUCGAUGAAAGAAUUUGGAUUAUUGAAUGUGAAGAUGAUUCAAUUCGAGAUGAUGGGCAAGGGAAAAGUAAAGAACUUCGAGAACUCCGAAUAAGAAACAAUUUAAAAAUAGGGAAAGAUUUGAGUAUACCAAGGAUAAGAGGGUUUACUUUUUGUGUUGGAAGCUGAGAUCAUUUCCAAGCUUGUAGUUGUAUGAAACAUUAAGAUGUGAUUAAUUCAAUAUCCUCUUUUAAAAUUUUCAAAUUAGUGAAACUAUUGAAUUGAUUGUAAUUUUGAAUCUUAGGUGGGUUUGAUGACACUGCAUUAUUUCUGUACCAUAAAUCUGCAAAUGUUCAUUUCAGCAUAAAAAAAUAAUAAUUAUUAUAGCUAAAUGAGCGGAACCUUGAAACUACUAGAUAUCAAUUUACAUUUGAUAUAACAAAAACUCAUUGGAAAAAAAAAAGUGGCAAAUCAAACUCAUGAACGUUCCUGGUCACAUGGUCAUGGGAGCUAAUUUUCAGAAACAUGGCCAGGAAAGGUCAGACCUUCUACGUAUGCAAUGGCAUCCAUUUGUACAAACGGCCAAUCAAAUUCUUCACAAAAAGAAGAGAUCUCGGAUUGUUCUAGUUUGGUUUCUUUAUUAGGAUAAUAACUUGUCGAAUUCUUCCCCGUAAUUGUCAGGGCUAAAACUUCAUCUUCACCGAAUUUCUUUCGACAUUAUGGCACUAUAAAUCUACUAAGAAGAAAAUAUGAUUCUACAUUUUUUAAAAAAAAAAACUUUUUUUUUUAAAGAUUAAUUUAUAGUCAGUUUAUGACCAUUAGUAAAGCUAAUCACUUCACCCAUAAUUUAUUUCCAUUUGUUAAUUGAUUUUCAACAAUGCGGUGUCCGAUGUGUUUGCUUGUGAUCUAGCGCUUAUGACGCUUGAUGAGCGGUCGAGAGAAGUGAACUUGUACUCUUUUAAGUUUGAAACAUGAUCAGAACAUCAAUUUCAUUGGACACAUACAGAAUAAGCUCACACAUAUUAUACUACUUUAUUGCUAUAUGAACGAAAAAGCAUCAUGAAAAUAGUAAAAACUCGCAAAACAAACUCAUAUAUGGUCUUCUUAUAUACUGAUAGAAUAGAAGAAGCUUGCUGGGACGAGAUCAGAGUUUUAGAGCCAGGGGGCGAGAUCAGGCUCUCUAAGUAAUCAAUUUCUUCUAUUUCCGCAAAAUGGGUAUAAAUUUCUUCACUAGUGGCAAUCAUCAACUGUUCAAGUUUCAUUUCUUGAUUGGGAUUAUACCUUAUCAUGAAUUUAUUCUCCCCGAUUUUGAGUGUCAUUGUUAUGAUAUCAUCCUCACCGCAGCCUGCACAACACUGCGACAGUAUCAAUGCAGCCCAAUUACCAUAAUCAUCCGCUCCUAUAGAAAUUCCAAGACAAUAGAGUUUUUGCCAAGAACACUUCACUCCGUUUUCUUUCAUCACCCAUAGCUCAACUUUCGCGCCCAGUGCGAGUAAACAGAGGCGACCGCCAACGACUCCCAAUCCCAUCGCUUGAUGAGCAUAAUCAAAAUCAGGUUUCGGCACCCGAGAGAACUUGUCCGUGGCUAAAUCAAAAGCAGUAAUCCCAAACAUCCCAAAUUCACAUUGAUUGUUUGUCAACCAGUGGAGACUUUCAUUCACUAGGGUCCCCAUCGGUCGCCCCUGAAAGUUUCUAGCUUCACAACAGCAAUGAAUACUGCCGAACCCGUGUUCGACCUUUUUCCAAGAAUUGGUUUUUGCCGUAAAAACGAUACCUUGUAUGUCAAUACACCUGCUAUUAUCAUCUUGCAAGUUAUCCUCCAUUUUAUGAUCUAUUUCCUGAAAAUAGAACAUAACCUUAUAACCAUUAGUGGAUGAAUCGUAUCCGAAACCGUACUUGACUAUAUCGUAAUCAUACGUCGCGUCAGGAUCGGCUGGUAACUUUGUAUAAGCACCGGUGGAGGGAUUCCAAAUAAAAAUCUCUCGAUAGUUGUCGAGAGCCAAGCAAAUCAAGCCGUGGCACGAGCCGAUAAAUCGAACCAUACCAUCCGGUCUGAUGAAGGGAAAAUGCAGUCUUGUCAACGCACGUUGUGAUGAAACAAAAACACACUUUAUGCCCUUUAAUCGUGCAUUUCCAAAUUAAACGCAUAUUUUAGUAAAUUUCGAAAUUUACCACGAUCUCCCAUGAAUCCGAGCUUGCAGCUUGUUAUGGAGCUUCAACAGAGUUGCUGCUGCUUCGGUUUAGCUUCUGAAUUCCGCUUUCUUUUCCUUAGCUCAAGGAUCGGCUUGCUUCAAAAUUUACUGUGCACACACACGGGAGACAAACGGGAGAGAGAGAUGCACUGCACUCAUGCCACAGAUUUUUGAACAGUUAACUUCCAAUGGGCUGAAGUUACUUAAAUACAGUGGUUGAGCGCAGGGACCCCUCAUGUGUUAGUACAAAAUUGCCCAUCCCAUUGUGGGCGAAAAUAACACAAUUAAGGAUAUACUUGUCCAUAAUAUACUACUGUACAAGGUAUGUCAAAAUUGCUCCAUAAUAUUUGACAAUAGUCACGUAUUAAUUCGGUAAAAUAUAGAAAACAAUUAGAAUGAUUUAUGUCAGUCCACAUAAUAUGAGAAAUAAAUCUAACAAUCUCCCACUUGGACGACAGAAAUCACUCCAAUGAUAAAUUUAAAAUAAAAUAAUAUUUUGAAAACAACCGAAUUAAUCAAUAUGUGACUAUAACAAAAGGUCAAAUACAAGCAAUCACCCAGAACAUAAACAAGUCCAAAAUGUGCCAUAAAUAUCAAAUCAUAUGUGCACCGACAGGAUGCUCCAUAUAACAAGACACUUAUAAACACGUGACCAUGUAGUAGUAUACAAGUAUAAUUAUGGAAAUAACAUGACAAUGUGAUCAACAUGCUCAUUUCCAUAAAGUCCAGAUGUCUAGCAAAAUGAGACGAAAACAAUAUGUCUCCUAGACCAUCGCUUCUUUAUAACCAUAAUGAGACUAUAGCAAAAUGUCUCGAGAAGCGAGCUUUCUUUUUAAUCAUAAUGAGACUAAAUCAAAAUGUCUCAAGAAAGCACACUGAAGCUAAAUCAUAAUGCUUCAGUCUUUAAUGUCCAUAUUGAGACUGAGCAAAAUGUCUCGGACCAUCGUAUCCUCAUUCUAUACAUAAUGCCAUACGCAGCCAAAUGUGUACACAAUAUAUGGCAUAUCAAUAUCACAUAACAACAUGCAUGCAUGAUAACAAAAUGAGUAAUACAUAAGCUCAUUUAAGUUGCAACUCAUAAUACAAACCAGAACUCCCACUGACUCAGCAUAUAUAAGUGGAUUCAAAUAAUCCCAUAUGCGUUACAUGCUCCCUAAAUACUUUUGGAGCUAAAGCUUUAGUAAGUGGAUCGGCUAACAUGAGUUCUGUAGGGAUAUACUCUACUGAUACACAAGAUAGAGCAAUUUUCUCUCUCACAAACAAGUAUUUAAUAUCAAUGUGCUUGGAACGUGAGGAACUCCCUGUAUUGUGAGAAAAAGAAACAGCAGCAGAAUUAUCACAGUAUAUCUUUAAUGGCCUCGGAACGGCCAAUAUACAAUCUAGCCCUGUGAUAAAAUUCUGCAUCCAUAAAGCAUGACGUGUAGCCUCAAAACAAGCUACAUAUUCUGCUUCCAUUGUUGAAGAAGCUAUGAGUGUCUGCUUGACACUUUUCCAGGAUAUAGCUCCUCCUGCCAUCAUAAAGAUGUAACCAGAUGUGGAUUUCUUGUCUUCCAAGCACCCUGCGAAAUCAGCAUCAGAAUAUCCAACUAUAUUCAAAUAGUCAGAUUGCUGAUAUGUCAAUACAAAAUCUUUAGUGGCUCGCAAAUAUCUGAGUACUUUCUUUGCAGCCUUCCAGUGUUCAAAUCCAGGAUUGCUCAGGUAUCUUCCAAGUACUCCCACUGGAAAAGCAAUAUCAGGGCGAGUACAGACUUGAGCAUACAUCAAGCUACCCACAACGGAUGCAUACGGGACUGUUUGCAUUCUAGCUUUGUCUACAUCAUUAUCGGGACAUUGAGACUUGGAAAUUUUGUCACCUUUCGAAAUUGGAGCUUUCCCAGGAGCACAAGACUGCAAAUUGAACCUUUUCAAAACGCGAUCAAUGUAAGUCUUUUGAGACAAACCUAGAAUUCCUCUAGAUCUAUCACGAAGAAUCUCUAUCCCUAAUACAUAAUGGGCUUCACCAAGAUCCUUCAUAUCAAAACUGCAUGACAACAUAUGCUUUGUCUCAAGUAACAAAUUAGUGUCAUUAGCAGCGAGCAAGAUAUCAUCCACAUAAAGCACCAAAAUGAUAUACUUGCUCCCACUGACUCUCAAGUAUAUACACUGAUCAACGGCAUUCUCCUGGAACCCAUAAGAGGUGACAAUAUCGUGAAAUUUCAAAUACCACUGUCUGGAUGCUUGCUUAAGUCCAUAAAUGAACCUUUUAAGCUUACACACCAUGUUUUCUCUACCAGACUCAACAAAACCAUCAGGUUGCACCAUGUAUACAUCUUCAGACAAGCUCCCAUUGAGAAAAGCUGUCUUCACAUCCAUCUGAUGCAAUUCUAAAUUGAAAUGAGCUACCAAUGCCAUGAUAAUACGAAAAGAGUCUUUGGUAGAAACAGGAGAGUAGGUUUCAGUGUAAUCAAUGCCUUCUCUUUGACUGAAACCCUUAGCCACAAGCCUGGCCUUAUACCUCUCUACCUGACCUCUGACAUCUCUUUUGGUUUUGAAAACCCAUUUGCAACCAAUUGGUCUGCAUCCAUCUGGUAACUCAACUAAAUCCCAAACCCCAUUAUGAUACAUAGAUGCCAUCUCAUCAUGCAUCGCAUGUAUCCAAGAUGAUGAUUCUGAACAACUGAUGGCCUCUUGAAAGGUAAUAGGAUCAGAUGAAGAGUCAGCAUCAAAAUCAUGCUCCUGCAAGUAAACAACAUAAUCAUCAGAAAUUGCAGGUCUCCUGAUCCUCUCUGAUCUCCUCAAUGGCACAUCAGUACCAUCAUCCUCUACAAUCAUAGGCUCCAUAUUAUGAUGAAGUUCAGGAUCAACAGAAGAAUCAUCAAUAUGUGGUAAUCCCAUCGCAGAAGUCGGAAAAGAUGGAAUAGGCAAAACCACACGUUCUUCUCUCAAUGUCAGACUGCGAGGCUCAGAACUCCCACCAUUGUGAUCAUCCUCAAAAUAAAUGGCACGAUCAGACUCAAUGAUUCUAGUAGUGUGGGAAGGACAAUAAAAUCUAGAACCCCUUGAGCCGAUACAAUAGCCAAUAAAAUGACCACUAAUUGUUUUCGGAUCAAGUUUCCUUAAUUGUGGAUUAUAGGGCCUCACUUCUGCUCUGCAUCCCCAGACAUGAAAAUGACGAAGACUCGGUCUCUUUCCUGACCACAACUCAUAAGGAGUUUUGGGCACCGAUUUACUAGGUACCUGAUUCAAAAUGUAAGCUGCAGUUCUUAAGGCUUCACCCCACAGAAAAUCUGGUAAGGUGGAGUUACUCAGCAUACACCGCACCAUGUUAAGAAGGGUACGAUUUCUCCUUUCUGCAAUUCCAUUCUGUUCAGGAGUCCCGGGCAUUGUAUACUGGGCUUCUAUUCCACAUUCCUGAAGAAAUUUAGCAAAAGGUCCAGGAUUACGCCCAGUUUCAUCAUAUCGCCCAUAGUACUCACCACCUCUGUCUGACCUUACUGCUUUAAUUUGCUUGCCCUUUUGGAGCUCAAUAUUAGCCUUAAAGGCUUGAAACACAGAUAAUGAUUCAGACUUUUCAGCAAGAAGUUCAACAUGACCAUAACGAGAAAAGUCAUCGAUGAACGUGAUGAAGUACUUAUAACCUCCAAUGGCAAUAGGAGUAAAUGGCCCACAAAUGUCUGUAUGUACCAACUCCAGCACCUGUUGACUCCUCUGAGUUCUCUCUUUUCUGGUUUUGGCAGUAAGUUUACCUUUGAUACAAUCAACACAAGUGCCAAAAUCAGAGAAAUCUAAAUGAUGUAGAAUGCCAUCUUUAAUAAGCCUCUCCAUCCUCUGUUUAGAAAUGUGACCUAACCGUUUAUGCCACAACAUAGAGGAAUUUUCAUCAACCCUGGCACGAUUAGAGCUAACAACAUGCACAACAUGAGCAUUAGAUGAUGAUUCAACACCACGAGAAAAUAAAUCAAUCAUAUAUAAUCCAUCAUAUAGAGUGCCAGAACCAACUAACUCUGAAUUGCGAAAUAAGUAAACUUUUCUAUCACCAAAAUGAAAAGUAUAGCCACAUCUAUCCAAAAUAGAUACAGAUAUCAAGUUUCUCCUAAUAGAAGGAAUAUAAGCCGUAUCUAACAGAUCCAAAAAAUAGCCUGUGGCUAGAUGUAGUCUGACAACUCCUAUGCUUUCAACUUUGGCUGUCACUCCAUUGCCCAUGUGUACUAUCAACUCCCCUUCAUUGGGCUCCCUCCUGCUUCUGAAUUCCUGUAAGGAAUUCGUUAUAUUAAUGGUUGCACCAGUAUCCAACCACCAAGUAUCAGAAGGAACAUUAACUAGAUUAGAUUCAAAGCCUACAAAAGCUACAGGAAUACCUUUCUUUUCCAACCAUGCUUUGAAUCCCCUGCAUUCAGCUCUCUUGUGCCCGGGUUUCUUACAAAAGUGGCACUUUCCCUUAAAGCUCUCAGCAGUGGAACCAGAAGUGGUAGAAGAAUUACCACGUGAAGUUUUCUUGCCAAAUUUUUUCUUCUUAAAAAACUUAUUGCUGCCCUUUGAAGAGCCUUUCUUCACACUUCCACUCUCUUGAGUAGUUGCCACCAUGACAGUGUGAGAUUUCCCCUUAUUCAAUGAUUCCUCUUCCUGAACCACAUAAGCAGUCAACUCAGUGAUAUUCCAAGUGUCUCUCUGAGUAUUGUAUUGGCUUCUCAAAUUGCCAAAUUGUGGUGGAAGAGAUUCAAGGAUUUGGAAGACCAGGUAGUCAUCAGGCAAAGUGACAUCCAUGUCCUUCAGCUUCUUAUGGUAACUAGUCAUCUUAAGGAUGUGUUCUCUGACCCCAGAAACACCAUCAUACUGGGUAUUAGCAAGCAGCCUCAGAUAGUUACCCUUUUCUGCCUUAUCUACCUUCUUAAAGGUUCUUCCAACAGCUGCCAAGUAAUCUUUGGCCUUAUCACAUGCAGGGAUGCUAUCUCUAGUUGUUCUAUCAAUGGUGUAUUUCAUUGUAUCCAGACAGUGUCUAUUGGAUUCAUCCCAAGCUGCCCACUCUGCUUUUCAGCAGCAGUGCUCUUAUCUGUGGGCUUGGCUGGUUCAUCAACUCUUAAUGCCAAGUCUCUAUUCAGUGUAGACAGAUAAAACAAAAUGGACUCACGCCAGUCCUCAAAAUUUGUCCCAGUUAAAUUCUUGAGGGAGGCUACUUGGAGAAAGGAGAGAAUAUCUAGAGCUGAGGAAGCAAUAACAAAAGAAUUAUCAAGCAUGCAAAACUAAAAUCAUGCUAUAAGCAAUUACUCCUCAUUCUAAGUUUCUCCAAUAGCAACACAAUAUGUUAGGCAUCCUUUAACAAUAUAGGAAUGCACUAACCUAAAGAUAAAGCAUACAAGUUGAAUAUAACACCAACAUUGACCUAUUACCGACAGGGUAAUUAAGCCACUCAGUAGAAAAUACUCAACAAAUCUCUUUAUCUUCCCAAGCAUCCUACCAAGUAGUGAUUUGCCGACAGGGCAGUAUCAUCACCCGUAUGGAUCUUGGUAAUAACAAUAAUAAUCCAUCACAUAAUCCAUAAUUCAUAAUUAUAAAUGGACAACCAAUUGCAAAACACCAAAUAAUUUAUCAUGAUUGGUCCUACGAUAAGCAGAUACACAAUCACUCUAAAUUGUAGUUUUGCAUCAUAUAUAUAUUUCGUAUAUUAACAAAAUUUAGGCUAAAUAAAUUUUGUCAAAUGAAAUUAAUAAGAUAUUAAAUCAAAUAAAAUAUCUACAUGCCUCAAUAAAAUAUAUAAAUGAUAUGCCCAUAAGAUUCAAUAAAUGAUGGAUUAUUUUAAAAUUUAAAAUUCUGAAAAAUCGCCAAAAUUGAAAGGAUUUUGGACUAAAAUGAAAAAUUUUCAGAAUUAUGUUUACUGUUUUAACUAUUAAAACUUUUGGUCCAAAUUGUAAAUAAAAUAAAAUAAACUGUUGGGCCAUACUAUAAUUUCCCAAAAUUCAAGGGACCAACUGAUCUUUUACAUAGUUGACCCUCGGUCAAGGACCUUUUCGAAAAUUUUGCAAAGAUUUUGGGCCAUAGUGACAAUUCACAAAAUUUAGGGAUCCAAAUGAAAUUGUCCCAUCAUCUUCAACCUCGGGCUGUUGCUACAGUAUUGUACAGUACAUUUACAGCAUCCACAUCCAUACCAACCCGAUUUUGGCCACCAAAAAACACGAAAAAAUUAUAUCUUUGCUCCAAAAUCAUCACUCAUGCAUUAUUUAACAACCGUUUGAGGAAAUAUGUCCAAAUUCGAAGAAUUCGAAAAAUCCGAAAAUAAUAAAAAAAAUUCCAUGAGUGAGAUUUCUUCAACAAAACAACUAUGGUUUACAAGGAAACGCAUAACCAUGGGCUCUGAUACCAAUUGAUGAAACAAAAACACACUUUAUGCCCUUUAAUCGUGCAUUUCCAAAUUAAACGCAUAUUUUAGUAAAUUUCGAAAUUUACCACGAUCUCCCAUGAAUCCGAGCUUGCAGCUUGUUAUGGAGCUUCAACAGAGUUGCUGCUGCUUCGGUUUAGCUUCUGAAUUCCGCUUUCUUUUCCUUAGCUCAAGGAUCGGCUUGCUUCAAAAUUUACUGUGCACACACACGGGAGACAAACGGGAGAGAGAGAUGCACUGCACUCAUGCCACAGAUUUUUGAACAGUUAACUUCCAAUGGGCUGAAGUUACUUAAAUACAGUGGUUGAGCGCAGGGACCCCUCAUGUGUUAAUACAAAAUUGUCCAUCCCAUUGUGGGCGAAAAUAACACAAUUAAGGAUAUACUUGUCUAUAAUAUACUACUGUACAAGGUAUGUCAAAAUUGCUCCAUAAUAUUUGACAAUAAUCACGUAUUAAUUCGGUAAAAUAUAAAAAACAAUUAGAAUGAUUUAUGUCAGUCCACAUAAUAUGAGAAAUAAAUCUAACACGUUGAUCAUGUAAAGACGUCGUUGAACAGUCGAAAGACCGAAGAGGAGAAUCCUUAGAAUAAAGAGAACGCUUUGAUAGGAGGAUUUUGGGAGGACUGUUUCUGGCGGUACGUUUGUACUGCAGUAAGGCGAAUCCGGGAUCGGAAAUCAGAGAGAGCCACUGCUUGCACGCACACUUGAAACGCAGCAGAGACUUGACGGGCAAUCUUGAAAGCACCUCAAUCAAGACGUCGUCAGGGAGAUUUGACAUUGUUUUGCUAGAGAGCGUUGUAUGGCAGAUUGGACCUUGGCGGCUCUCUAUAGCUCUUCUCUAAAUAUGGGGCGGUGACUCUGUUAGGGCAAGUCAUCAUUACUGAUGAAAGAUAAAUGUGAUUUUAACCAAUAAAUUAAUUAGUUUUAAUUUGUAGGCAUCCUAAAUAAUUAAUUUGUACGUGAAAAAGACAAUCAGAACCACCAAGCAAAUAACUAACAAAUUAAUUAAUUUCAAUUAACUACAUUGAGGUGAGGGAAACCCAAAUGAUCGGUAAACAACUUGCCUUGAAUGCUAUGGGGAGGGAACAAUUGAAGUGAGAAGAAGACAAUCCCACAAUUUUUAAUCCCAAAUUUGUUAAGCGACUCAGUACAUAUACACAAGAGAUUAUAUAUGGACAAUGGAGCCAAAGAUUGUCAAUUGGCCAUGGCGGUUGGAGAUGAGAGCAAAGCAAGCAAAUGAUGGCUGCCAAUGAGACACUCCCCAACCGAAUAAACCUCCGGUCACGAUUGAAAGCCUGAUAAACAACAAGGGUAAUGGCCGUAAUCUCAACAAAAGGAAGAAGUUCGAAGAAGACUUGCGACCAAGAUGAGCUGCAAAGGCCAAUCACCACGGCAGUCUCUAAAAACACCUCCUCAAGCUGCUAAAGCCGGAUUUUAAACCUUAAACAUAUUGUUUUUAGAACUGUUAGUAUUAUUGCACGAAAUUGUCUCUAAAAAAAAAUCAUUAAACAACUUGUGCACAAACUUGACUCAAAAUUUUCUUCACUGUCAUGCUUUUUUGUGGAGUUAUCAACACUUCCUAUACUCUUUAAUUCAUACCUCACUAUUUCAUAUAUACCAAUCAAACCAGGCAAAUCGUGGAUUCAAAAACAUGACAACUUAAGAAGGGGGUGGGGGAGAGAAAAACAAAAGGGUCUUCUUGAGCAUAAAGAUUCCAGAACACCCAAAAAUAGUACACCACGGGAGCCUGAUAGAAAAUAUCUAAAUUUAUAUCAUUGAAAACUCAUAUAUGGUCGUGGGGCGAGAUAAGACUUCCCAUGUUUGCAACUGCUUCAGCAUCAGAACCAAUCAUCAAAUGUUCAAGUUCCGUUUCUUUAUUAGGAUCCUCGUUAAUUUAUCCCACCAAAUAUUGCAUGUCAGUACUAAAACUUCAUCUUUGAGACCGCAUUCUAUACAACAUUGUGGCACCUUGAAUCCAGCUUACCGAAUCUCUUUAGUGUAUCCAAGUUGAUCAGAGUUUUUGCCAAAAAGACUUCACUCCAUAUUCUUUCAUCAUCAAUAAUAGCUCAACAGCACCACUUUGUGGAGCCCGUCAAACAACUCCUAAUCCCAUUACAUAAUCUUCAAAAAAAAAAAAAAAUUUUAAAAAAGGCAUCAGCACUUCAAUUUCUCCUCAGCUAAGUCAAAAGUAGUAGUCACACUGAACCUAUUAUGGUCAUUAGAUCCCAGUUAUCCGGUGGAGACUUUCAUUCACUAGGUUUUAUUUCUUCAUUAGCAUCCGAUCCUGACACUGUUGCAGCGGUGCAAUAUUGUUGAUGGGAUGACCAUAGUAACAAGAAGCUAGCUAGACUCUUAAGCUGUACUUUGAUGCACAAUAAACAAAAAUAAACGUCAUGAAAAUUGUAAAAAGUCACAAAACAAAAACGUUUAUGGUCUUAUAUAUAAUAGACAGGGAUAUAAACAUGGGGCGAGAUCAGACUUUCUAUACAACGUUUAUCGUAUAUCAGUACUAUAAUCUUCGAGACUGCAUUCUAUACAACGUUGUGGCGCUGUGAAUCCAGCAUGCUGAAACUAUUUUGCGUGUCCCAGGUGAUAGAGGUUUGGCCAAGAAGACUUCACUUCGUGUUCUUUCAUCAUCAACAACUCAACAGCCCCACUUUGUAAUCCUAUUGUGACCAAACAGAGGCGCCCGUCAAACAACUCCUCCUAAUCCUAUAACAUAAUCAUCAUCAACAAGAUCAGGUUUUGGCACCUCACUGAAUUUCUCCUCAGCUAAAUCAAAAGCACUAGUCACGCUGAACCUCUUAUGGUCGUUAAGAUCCCAGUUUGUUACCCAGCGGAGACUUUCAAUCACUAGGCUUUAUUUAGUUAUUACUCGUGUAUAUGGUUGCAAUUUAUUUCUAAGGUUUGGAGGAUCCAAUGACUUGUGGUGUUCGAAGCUAUUUCUUAAUUACUUUUCUGUGUUAGUUGCUAAUCAAUCUAAACUCAUGUUUUGACUCCUAAAUCUUAGCUUUAUCUAUCAUUAAUCGAUACUUUACUUUUUUAACAAGAAUAUAUUUGUCAAAUUUUUUCCUGUAAUUCACUUGUCAUACUUCAUAAUUUCUUUGUUCAAGCAAUGAUCUUUUUAUUUUUCACCAUAUAUAUUUUAGCAUUCGUCAAUAUUGAUAGUUUAGAGAGUAAAUGGCUUAUUCCCAAGAAGAGAAAAAGAUUUGGCAACACUAGUUUUGAUCAGUACAUGCCUCGAUCGAGUUAUCACUUGGAACGUGAAAAUGUCGCCUUUUCCCUUCAAGAGUAUGCUUUUUCUAUAACUAUUUAACACCAAAACUGAAAUGAGGUAUCAAAAAUGUAUUAAUGACCCUAGUUGUUUUAAAAAAAGAAAAAGAAAAAAAGAAAAGAAAUCAUUCAACAUUUUUCAAACUUGAAAAAAGGGACUCAAUUCGUGACAAUUCAUAAAGCUAAUCUACGAUAUCCAUAUUUAGGUAUGUAAAAUUAAUUAUUCACAUAUUUCAUCUUAUGAAUUUUUAAAGCUGAUAAUAUAUUCCUUAAGAUCAGAGAUGCACUGUAUGGCAGAGUUAAAGGGGAAAUUUGGAAGAAAUUGCGGAUGUCAAUAGAUGCCUACUUAUUCUAAAACAAGCAGUAUUGACACCCACAGCAUAAUUCCUGAUAAAUACUUUUGGGAGGCUCCAAUCAAUAGUUCCUAAUCCAAUUGCAUCUGCUGUCAUUGAUUGAGGGUGCGUUUGGGAUUGGGAUUGAGCAAUUGUAGUUAUAACACUAAAGUAUUUGGUAAACACUAACUGUUGUAGCUUGGAAGCUAUAUUAAUAUGAUUUUUCACUUGUAUAAUAGAAAAUUUAUUAUAUCUUUAAUAAUUUUGACAAAAUUAUUAUUUAAAAUUUAUAUUUACUACAUAUUAUUAAUUUUUGUUUUAUAGUCACAAUUUUUUUUUUUACAACAACUGUAGUUACAGUACCUCAAUCUCAAACGUACCAAACGUACCAUAAGGCAACGAUCCUUUCAGCUAUAUAUAUAUAUAGAUAGAUAUGUUGAUGCUUAUUCUCUUAUGUAACCAGAGGCGCAUCUUGAGAAGACAGUGAUAUAUAUUGGGCAGGGCUGCCGUUUAAUUUUGGAUAGCGAAGCCACCUGCAAGUAGCAUCCUGACACUGUUGCAGUGGUGCAAUAUUGUCGAUGGGAUGACCAAAGUAACGAGAUGCUAGCUAGACUCUAAGCUGUACUUUAGUGCACAAUAAACAAAAAUAAACGUCAUAAAAAUUGUAAAAAGUCGCAAAACAAAAACGUUUAUGGGGUCUUAUAUAUAUAUAGAUAUUACAUAGGGAUACAAACAUGGGGCGAGAUCAGACUUUCUACAUAUGCAACUGCCUCAACUGUACCAACAAAAUCCCCCAAAUUUUCAAUUACUUUCGUUUCUUUAUUAAGAUAAUACCUUACGAAAUUAUCCCCAUAAACUUGUGUCAGUAUUAUAACUUCAUCUUCAUCGCAUCCAGCACGACACUGUGGCACUAUGUCUCCACAUAACUCAUUAGAAUUACCAAUAUGAUACAGUUUUUCCCAAGAAGACUUCACUCCAUAUUCCUUCAUCAUCCAUAACCCAACACUAAGAUCACCACCCUGCCCUUGUGUCCCAUUGAGAUCGCUGAUCCAUCUGACUAAACAGAGGUGCCCAUCGACAACUCCCAAUCCUGAAACAACACACAUCUUCCCUCUAACAUCAUGAACCAAAUCAGGCGUUGGCACCUCUCUGAAUUUCUCCUCAGCCAAAUCGAAAGCAGUAAUCACACUACCGAAAUCUUCAGCACUGCCCCAAUUUGUUAACCAGUGGAGAGUUUCAUUCAGCAGGGACCCUAUUGAUCGAUACUUGCAAAUGUGAUCUUCACUGUACUGCCUGAACUUGUGUUUAACUCUUCUCCAGGAAUUGUUUUUUGAUGAGAAAACAUAGGCUUGCUCGUCAAUGGAGCUGCUGCUAUAACUAUCUAUAUCGGGAACGUAGAAAAUAACCUUGUAAUCAUUAGUGGACGAAUCAUAACCAAAACCACGAUAGGAAUUGUCGCGAUCAUAUUCCAAUUUAAAAUCUAAUGGAAUGUUAUGAUUUGGUAGCUUUUUUCGGUGUAUUAAAUUAUCUGGUAUCCGAAGACCACAUUGGGCCUCGACUAAUCCAGAUUCGAGCCGAGUAGGACCACUAGGGCGGUAAAACUCUCUCAACAAAUAUUUAACGCAGCUGCUUAUGAUCUGGUAGCUUUAUGUAAGCCCCGGUGGAUGGAUUCCAAAUAAAAAUAUCGGCACAGCGCUUGCCGAGAGCUAAGCAAAUCAAGCCGUUGCAUGAUCCUACGAGCUUUGACGUAUCUUGUGUCGCGAACGGAAAAUUUAGCCGUCUCAACGCGCGUGGAUCAUCUAGAGAUUUUGUUGAACAGUCAAGCGACCGAAGAGUGGAAUACGGAGAAAUAUAAUAAUUUGAUGUAAGGAUUUUGAGAGGGCUUUUUUUGGCGCUAUGUUUAUAUUGCAGUACAGCAAAUUUGGGAUCGAAAAUCAGAGAGAGCCAUUGCUUGCAUACGGACUUGAAAUGCAGCAGAGACUUGACGGGCAACCUUGAGAGUACCUCAACUGCAAUGUCGUAAGGAAUAUCUGACAUUGUUUUGCUGAUGGGCGUGCUGUGUCUAAUCUUGCAUAUAGCAGCUUGGUGGCGGCUCUAUAACUCUUAUUUCUUAUACAGGUGCUAACCUGGCAAAGCAAAUUCUAGUACCAUCAGGAUUCGAAUUCCUGAAACGUUUUCCUAACCCCUUAAGGUUAAAUUGUAUUUUUGUUCAAAAUAUUAUUAUAAUUCUUAUUAAUUUUUAGAUACUGAAAAAAAUUCAUUCAUUUAUUAAAUACAUAUAUUUCUCGACUCCUAUCCUAUCUAUCUAUAUAUCUAUAUAUCUAUCUAUAUAUAUAUAUAAAGUUGAGACUUGAGGAGGUGAUGUGGCAUCAUCAUUUCUCUUCUUUGUAUAUUCUCUAUUAUCUAAUAAAUAGAGAAAUUUUCUUUUAGAUUUGACUUUUAGAUUAUACAAUAACAAUUAUGUAAAAAAUUUAAUGAGGCAUAUUCCUUGUAAUGAAUAUCCAAGGGGAAGUGUUAUGAAUUUAUUAAAAUAAAUGUAAAUGUUCAUAAUAUAUAUCUCUUAGUCUCCCCACUAUCUCUCAUUAGCAACUUUUAGCUUCCCUAUAACUCCCACUAUCUCACAAGGAAUUAUGAUCCAUAAUUUUUCAUUAAUUUCAUGGAGUGAUUAUGUAACUAUAAAAGGAGAACUCAUCUUUUUGUUUUGUACACACACAAUUGGAAUGAAUAAAAUCACUCUAUAAUAAAUUAUCUCAUUUUAUUCUUUAUCUUAAGUUGCUUCUUUAUUUGUAUUGCUGGCUAAUAGCUUUUUUUUUUAUUUUUUAUAAGGUUGCCUCAUCUUAAAAAAAAUCAAUUCAUAUUUUUUAUCAGUUUCAUCAAGUGUAAAGUAACAAAAAAAGGAUAAUACUAAAUUCUUUUUUUCAAAGCCGCAUGAAACGUGGGUUUAUUUUCUAGUUUUAUUAUAGAUAAACUUCAAUAAUUUAACCACCACUCAUUUAGCUUUAUUUACCCCGUCUGUCUCUUUUUACAUAAAAUAGAUAGAGAACGGCAAUUCACGAGUGAGGCAGGUCUAUGCUUAGAUUUUCCCAAAUUGACAAACAUUUAGUUAGGGAUUGUUUCCUGAAAGUCUUUUGUCAUUCCUCAUUUCUUGUUCUUUGUUGAGUAGAAGAGGUGUUUGCGAAAAUGAACUACGCGCUCGAUGAAAUGCCCCAACGAACUCUGCAUUGCGGCCUUGGUACUUUGGGAGUAUGAAAGAUAACGGACGCCUGGCAGUUGUUGUGUAAGUAAAUAAUACAUCAACCGUAUUUACAAGGGCCUUUCAUUGACUUAUGGUACAAAUUAUGACUUUACGUAUUACUGCCUCAAAAUCAGUACCAAAUGUCAAUCAUCAAAUGUUCAAGUUUUGUUUCUUACCUAGUCAAUUUAUCCCCCUCAAUUUUGAGUUGAUUGCAAGUUGCCUCCUUUUAAUGGGCAUUGAUCGUCUAAAGAUGUUGAACAAUCAAAAGACCGAAGAAGAGAAGGCUUGGAAGGAGAACUCUUUGAUAUAAGGAAUUCGUAAGGGCCGCUUUUUGGCGAUAAUUGAGAAGAAACGACUACUAUUUGAAAAAGGUAAGGAGGAAAAGAGAAUGGGAGGAAGCUAGCUGACUAGCCGCUGGAGGAAAAAACCAUGAGUUUAACAGCAGGUUGCCUUUUUAAAUGAAAGUAAUUUGUCAAACUCUCAAAAUUCUCUUCCCUUAUUAGGCGGCUGAAUUAGUAAAAAUGGAAUCAGCCGCGUGACGGUCGUAUGAGUGCAGUUUAAUUUGCAUUUAUGCAUCCUUAGGCGUUUGUCAUGUAUGGUCCACCUAUCUUUUCAUUGUUGAGCAAUGAUAGAAAUAAUACGUUUUACGACAAAACGAACUCAUACAUGGCCUCAGCUAGUAGCUAUUAAUAAGGUAAGGUAGAAAACCGGGUGAGAUCAUAAGUUGGUAUCUUUAUCAGUAUCAAUGAUCAAUUGUUAAAGUUUCGUUUCUUUACUAAGACCAAACCUUGUCGUCAAAGUCCCCGCCCCGUUGUUUGUCAAUACUAUUACUUCAUCUUCACCGCAUAAUGUAUUGGCAAGGUCACAAUCCUAGAAUGUUAACCACUGGAGGCUUUCAUACACUAGGGUAACUAUUACUUCAUACCGCCGUCGAUUUCACAACAUUUUCUAUUGUUGUUUGUUUCACCUCUAAACUCUUUUUCAAGAAUUGGGUUUUGCUGCGAAAAUGGAAAUGUUAGUUUCUUUGUAAACCCGAGGAGAUAUAAGGACCUUGUAAUCAACAGUAGAUGAAUCGAUCAUAACCAAAAUUUUAUUCUCAUCAAGUGACAUUUUAAAGUCUGAUGGGAUGAUUUCUGUAAGCUCCGGUUGAUGGAUUCCAAAUAAGAAUCUCUUCAAAGUCGCCUACGAUACGGACCACACAAACCGCUCUCUUUAACGGAAAAUUCAGUCUUCUCAUCACACAUUGAUCAUCUAAAGAAGAUGUUGUUAAACAGUCGAAAGAUUGUAGAGUGAGAGAUGUCGAUGAAUAUUUGAAAGUAUUAGAGAAUACAAAGGUCGGAUGGAGGACAGCCUACAUUGAUUUCGUGACAGUUUGACGUAAGUAUUUUUUGAGGCCAUUUUUGGCGGUUUGAUUUUAUUCCAUUGCAGCAAAUUUGGGAUCAGAAAUCCGAGAGAGCCAUGUCCUGCGUACACCCUUGAAACACAGAAGAGACUUGAUGGGCAUCAAGAUUGUUGUUUGCUAUAUGAACUAGAAACAACAUUUUUAAAAAAAUCUACAUGUAAAUUGUUUGAAUGAACAACAAACUAGACUAUAUAUAUAUGUAGAGAGAGAGAGAGAGAGAGAGUAAAAUUGCGACAAAACAACCUCAAAUGUAUAUUUAGAUGAUGCUAAAUAUGAAUAGAAACAUGGGGUGACAUCAGACUUUCUACAUAUGCAAUUGCUUCCAUUCUCUCAAAACUUUGCAUGGCUUCUGCGUUAGAGGUAAUCAUCAAAUGUUCAAGUUUGGUUUCUUUAUCAGAAUUAUACCUUAGCAAUUUGUUCCCAUUUUUUGUCAUUAUAAUUCCGCCGAUCCUUGUACAACAUAGCGGCUUCAUCCCCACGGUAUCACAGCAAAGGUCAUUACAAUUUCCGAUAUCAUAUAAUUUUUCCCAAGAAGACUUCACUCUAUAUUCCUUCAUCAUCCAUAACUCAACGGUACCACCACGUCCCUCUGUGACUAAACAGAGGUGCCCAUCAAUUACUCCCAACGUCAAAAAAAUAAAAACGUUACCGUUAAGUUCAUCAAAACCGUGAGGCAUUGGCACCUCGCUGAAUUUUUCUUCUACUAAAUCAAAUGCAGUAAUCACAGUAAAUUCACCACGGCUACAAUGCCAUUUUGUUACCCAGUGGAGACGUCCGUUCAUCAGAGAUCCUGUUAAACUCUGCUGCCAGUACAAAGUUUCACAACAUUGAAUACCAUUACUGCUUUGCAUUGAGUUGAAUCCUUUUCCAGGAUUCGGCUUUUGUUGCAAAAACUUUAAAUUGGGUCUCAUUGAAGCUAUGAUCAAUACUUCGUUUAGCGAACAAAACUUUGUAAUCAUUAGUCGAUGAAUCGUAACCAAAACCAUAUUGGUAUCUAGUAUCACCAGAUGAAAUGUCAAGAUUUGGUAACUUUCUGUAAUCUCCUGUCGAUGGAUUCCAUAUAACAAUAUCCUCACAGUUAUCAAAGGCUAUGCAAACCAAGCCGUGACAUGAGCCUAUAACAUGUGCAUUAGUACUAUAUGGUUUCCUGAAGGGAAAAUCCAAUGGUGUCGAUGCAUUUUGAUCAUCGAAGUUGCUGCCGACGAGUCUAAGGAUUGAAGAUGAGAAGGAUUGAUUAUAAGGAUUUUUUUAGGGCGGUUUUUUGUAUGCAUUAUAUUGCAAUGUAGCAAAGUCGGGACUGGAAAUCAAAGACAGCCAUGGCUUGGAUGCUAACUGGACACGCAAAAGAGACUUGACGGGCAAUCUUGAAAUUAUGUCAAUUACGACGUCGUCGGGAAGAAUAUCGGACAUUGUUUGCAAAUAAGCUCAUACGUUGUAUCUACUCUUUUUUAACAUGGCUGCUUGGGUUUGUAAAUUACAAGUCCUUUUUUUUUUUAAAUAAGGUGGCAAAGGGAAAUUAUAGUAAUAUUUAGGGAUCUUAAUUAGAGUUAAUAAUUUUCUUUUAAGGUGGCUUUAAUGAUUUUAUUUGAUUAAUGACAUGCUGCCUUAACUAAUAAUAUCAUUAGAAAAGUCCCAAUAGUGGUCCUAUUUGUAAAUGAUUAAGCUAAUUCAUUUUUGAAACGUAAGUACCAAAAAUGUGGUGGAUUUACAACUAGAAUAAUGAUGCAAGAGCUAAUUUUGAUCAAUCUACUUUAAUUCAAAAAAAAAUUCGGGAUAGGUUCUUAUUAGCCGUUGGAUCUCACCCUCUCAUGCUUCAGGUUAAAGCAAGGCCAAAAGCUCUAUCUCGAAAAGAAGUGUACUCCAAGACAUGAUACGUUAGCUUAGGCCAGUAGCCGCAUUGAGAAUUUAAAGGACCCACUCUGAGAUCUACCAAUAGGAUUCUUGUUCACAUGGCCCACUAUGAUCACUACAACACACCCUUUAAAAUAUAUAUAUAUAUAUAAUAUAAUAUUUUCUUGUAAUAAUAUUUAUUGAUUUUUUUUCCUUGCAAUUGUCUACUUCUUUUAAAAUAUUAGACCAUGGUAUCUUUUUAUAAUUUAUUAAUGUAUCAUAACUAAAAAGAUUUAUGCUACACAUUUUAAAUUUUUUUAAAAAAAAAAUUAUUUUAAAUAAUACAACAUUUAUCAAUUAUUUAAUGAAUUUAUAAAAAAAUUAUCAAAGUUUAUUAAAUAACACAUUAUUUGAGAUGAAAUUUAAGACAAUAAAUUUGAGAUAUGUGUCAUAACUUUAACUAAAUAAUAAUACCAUUUAAUAUUUUAAAAAUAAGUGAGAUUUCACUUAAUGUUUUAUUAAACAAAUUUAUUUAAUUUAAUGGUAUAAGUUUAAAAUGAAAAAAUAAUAUUUAAAUCAUUAUCCAUCAAUCAUUAGAUUGCACGAUCUUAAGUUAGAAAAUCAAAGUCAGGAAACCAUCCUUUAAAAAUAAAGUUGAACGUUUUUCUUUAUAUAUAUAUAUUUAUCUUUCUUUUGCCGCUGCCGAGGCUCUAAGGAAAAGUUUGGAGCGAAGGAAAAUGAUAAAUGCACGAGUUAAAAGGGCAGUCAUGUCAAGGAAUUUUUUAUUCGAAAAUACAAUAAAAAAUGUUUAUUAUAAAAUUCACAUCCUCAAUAUUAUUUUUUUAUGAGAGUCAAUUUACCAUUACGCCAUGAGUAAUAAAUAUAUGCCAAAUAUUGUUUAAAAAAUGCAGGCCAAGUACUAAAUAUUGUCAGUUUCUCCAAGUUGAGAAUUUGAGACCCUUUCGGGUAUAUUCACAUCUUACGUAUAUAAAUAACAUCUCAGAUUUGAUUUGUAUGCCACAAAUGUCUGGCAUGCAAGCAUUUAAUAAGACUAUGGCCAUUAAAAAAAAAGGCAUUUUCUUUUUAAUUUCUUGCUUCAUACGCAUUUCAGUGUGGAAAUUCGGUAACCAAUUGAGUGUUGGUUUAAACAACAUAUAAUUGAAGAAACAUUCGCUGCCUAAAAAACCUUUUUGUAUGUAUUAUUGGAGAGCCAUUUUUCUUUUUUAAUUGAAAUGCUUAAAUGUAGAUCAAGCAUAUUUUGAAUUUAGUCAUUCAAGCUUCAUUUGAGCUGCCGCAGUGAAGUUAUUUUAAGAGGUUUCAACAAAGAAUAAAAAUUCAUUUAAUAUUUGAAUUAUGCUUGAAUUAAAUCAACUUUAAAUAAUAAUAAUAAUAAUAAUAAUAAUAAAUUAUUAAAUGCCAACAAGGUGAACAUUUGUUGUGAAAUGAUUUUCACAAAGUCGUACGUAAAAAUGCCCGUGUCGUUGAAUGUUGACGUGUCCUUCCUUAUUUACUACAAAGAAAAAGAAAUCUCCAAUGAAGAAGUUUCUUAGCAGCCAAACACAACCUCAAGCGAGGGCAGGGCAUCCACGUAACUACGACAUCUGAAAAUUAAACAAUCAACGCAAAGUCGAGGGUCCAGCGGUCAUUUCACAAUUAAAAAAAUAGCCGUUCAAUAAUUUUGAAAUAUUAGCUAAAUUGAAAAAAUGAGCUAUAUGAUCCUUAUAUCUCAGUUACAUUAUAAUUACAGAGCUUCUCUUUCGCGUGGAGCCAACCUCUGCCAUCAUCAUCAUCCAUUUGUUCACUCAAUUUCUGAACCCAAAAAGAAAAAAAAAAUUGAAAAUUAGGGUUUUGCUUUCGCUUUUAAUCUGCCUUUCAGAUCUGAUUGUAACUUUCAUUUACUCUCAUUUCAAUCUCAGAUCCGAAUUAACAAUUCAAUUCGGUACCUCUUAUUUCCAUUGCAAUAUAAAAGAUUUUAUUUUUAUUUUUGCUUGAAAUGUGGAAAUAAGAUUCUUGACAAAUUUGGUUUUUUUAUUUUUUAUUCCCCUUUGGUGUAUGUAAAAUUUUAGGCAAUCCUUUCAUGUUCUUCUCUGAAUUUGGGUUUUCUCCACCUUGUAAGUGAUCGUAAUUUAGUUAUUAAUUGUUUUAGUAUUGAAUUGCUUGUUCUUGAUUUUAUUUAUUUAUUUUUGUUUUAUAAUUUUGAUUUUUUUGGUGUGUGUGGAUGAAGCUUUGUCAUUUUAAACAGAUCUUAAAAGUUGGCUCCGCAAAGACGGUCGCAGCGCCACAUGGGUGGCCAGAUGCAGCAGAGCAAUGCUGCUGCGGCGGCGGCUGCGCUGUAUGAUCACCCCGGUGGGUCCAUGCAUAACAAUGCGGGUCCCACAACUGACGCCGGUGAUGCUGUCAUGGCGCGGUGGCUCCAGUCUGCUGGACUGCAGCAUCUGGCCUCUCCCUUGGCUUCUAACGGCAUUGAUCAUCGCCUCCUCCCCAAUCUUCUCAUGCAGGUACCAUAUUUCUUUAUAUAUCAUAUACAAUUCGAUAUAAAUGGAAGGUUACAUUUUGAUGGGAAUUGAAUUUUGUUUUUAUUCUAUGAAUUUUAGAUGAAGCUCAAAUUAUUUGUUUUUUAAGUUUUGGAUAGCUAUGAGUUUCCCAAAAAAAAAAAAAUCCACCUAGGGAUUAUAAUUUUUUUGAACCCAAAAUGAAUUUGGGGUAGUAAAAUGCUAUGAAUGUUCAUAGUUUUUGGCAUUUGGUUUCUGUAUGUGCAUUUGGGUUUCUAUCUUAUGAAAUAACAAGGUCCUCUCUGGUAUUGUUAAAGGGUUAUGGGGCACAAUCUGCAGAAGAGAAGCAGAGGCUUUUCAAAUUAAUGAGAAACCUCAACUUCAAUGGUGAAUCUGGGGCUGAGCCACACACACCAACUGCCCAAACAUCAGGGGUGGUUGCAUCAGAUGGGCUUUAUUCUCCAGAGUUUAGAGGGGAUUUUGGAGCUGGCCUUUUGGAUCUUCAUGCUAUGGAUGAUACUGAGCUUUUAUCUGAGGUAUGGUUCCUUAUAGGUAACUGCAUCUAUGCUGUAGGAGACAAUCUUUGGUGCAAAAAGUGCUGAAGUAUUGAGUUUUCUGUUGUCUUACUUCCAAGGGUUUAAGGAUUAACCGGGAUUACACUUGUUUGGCUCAGUCAUAUUUGCUUAUCUUUUUUCCUUCUUUUUCAUUUGAUGUGAUCAAUUGAUUCUUUUCCCUAUCGCAGCACAUGAUUUCAGAACCAUUUGAGCCAUCGCCUUACAUUCCUAGUAUUUCCAAAGGGUUUGAAAAUGAUUUCAACUUGACAGCAGGCUGGCAGCAAAAAGAGCAAACUGAUGCAGAUGCCUCAGCUCCAGUUCCCACAAAUGAAAAAGAGAGCAAUGCCAGAGAAAAUAAUGUGGCUAAAAUUAGAGUUGUGGUAUGUGGCUCUGGUGGUAGUAUGCACAUGCUUAUACAUGUGUAUAUUCAUAUGUUGUAUACUCAUUCUUUCAUGUCUUAGGUACGUAAAAGACCCUUAAACAAGAAGGAGCUCUCUAGGAAGGAGGAGGAUAUUGUAACUGUGAGUGACAAUGCUUUGACUGUCCAUGAACCCAAGCUAAAGGUGUGUUCUGUGGCUAUGGAAAAUUUUUUGAUUUACUUAAAAAUGCUUCCAGAUGAAUCGAUGGGAAAUUUAUCGAUGCUUGUCUGGUGUUGGCUUUUCUAUUUUUUUUUUCAUUUUUUCCCCUUUCUCUGUGCAGUGGAAGGACUAACUUUUCUUUUAAUAUGAUAGGUGGACUUGACUGCAUAUGUGGAGAAGCAUGAGUUCUGCUUUGAUGCUGUUUUGGAUGAACGUGUCACCAAUGAUGAGGUAAAAAGUUUUGUUCUUCUUUCUUCUUCCUUGCCUCCCCACUACCCCUUUUUAAAAAUUAGAGUUGAAAUUUGUGGGACUGCUGCUUUGGCAUAAUUAGAACUCUGAGAACCUGUAAAUUAUGUUCUAAUCUUCCUUUGCCGCUGACGUAUUGUUUGUAAAUUCUGUUCUCAGCUGCUUACUGUCUUGUGAAAUGUGCAAGUAUAGACAUAUUGAAGCUCUUGUCUUUUACUUCUAACUUGUUCGAUUCAAGUCAUGAUUACUUCACAUUCUUUCUUAACUAGGUAUAUCGUGUCACUGUGGAGCCAAUUAUUCCCACCAUUUUUCAGCGAACAAAAGCAACGUGUUUUGCAUAUGGGCAAACAGGUAAGAGAGUCUGAUAUUCUCUUACCAAAUGGCAUAGUAAUGUUAACACUUAUCUUGGGAGGUGUCUUUUGCCAAAGUCAAUCAGUUUCAAAUUGAUUCACCAUGUGGAAGACAUGGUGCUGUCAUCAUAUUUUUUUAUGUCCUAUGCUGUUUCUCCUUUUUAUCUCUUGCUUAUAUGCGAUGCUGCUGGCUGUUCCUGAUGCUUGGCACGUAUUUAACUGCAAUUGAAUAGCUGAAAUAAUGAAAUACUAAUAAAUUAUAAUUUCAGGGAGUGGUAAGACAUUCACUAUGCAACCAUUACCUCUUAGAGCAGCAGAAGAUCUUGUUAGAUUGUUGCACCAGCCUGUAUAUCAUAAUCAGCGAUUCAAAUUGUGGCUUAGCUAUUUUGAGAUAUACGGUGGAAAACUUUUUGAUCUUCUCGGUGAAAGAAAGUAAGGAUCUCUUUACUUUCUUCCUCUCCCUCCAUCUCCUUAAUUCUUUAUAUGCGCCUGGAGAAUUUGGAUGCUUUGCAUGUUAUAGACACUGAUGAUAAUAAUAACUCUUUAUAUGUAUUUCAGUUGAAUAUGAAAUGUCUGUUGGAUCUGACUAGCUGCAUAACUUAUUAUUAUGAUAUUGAGGAUCUUGCUACUGUUCAUGAAACUUGGGUAUCUUAGUGUUGUUUAUUUGUAUGUAUAGCUUAGAAUACAUAUCAAUAUGCUAUGUUUGGAUGUUGAUGGGUGCACAAUUGGGCACAUUUAAAAAGUGGCUUGCUUUAUUCUUCUCAAAUAGGAAACUUUGCAUGAGAGAAGAUGGGCGACAACAAGUUUGCAUUGUUGGGCUGCAAGAAUUUGAAGUUUCAGAUGUGCAAAUUGUAAAGGAAUAUAUUGAAAAGGGAAAUGCUGCAAGAAGUACAGGAUCUACCGGUGCCAAUGAGGAAUCUUCUAGGUCACAUGCUAUUUUGCAACUUGCUAUUAAGAAGCACAUUGAAGUAAAAGAAUCCUUCAGGCGGAACAAUGAUGGAAAUGAGUCUAGAGGGAAGGUUAUUGGAAAGAUUUCUUUCAUUGAUCUGGCUGGGAGUGAAAGAGGUGCCGACACCACUGAUAAUGACCGUCAAACCAGGUGCGUUUUCAUUCAUCAACUGUAUUUUGUUCCUCGGCUAUGGAAUUCUAGCUCAAAAGUGGAAAGAUGGUUUAUUUCUUAUGCUUGAUGCCAUACGCACUAAUGCUGACAACGUCAACUUCAUGUGUUCAUAGUUGGCACUCCCUUUGUUUACCCUGCACCGUAUUAUUUUUAAUUUAAAGUUGCUACAGACUGGUUUUACUUAAUAAUUUUUUUUUCUUUCUCUUCUUUCUCUCUCUCUCUCCCGCUCUCCCCCCAAUUGGGAGGAGGCAUGUUUGGGGACUAUUUGAUGCAUAUCAUGAUACUAGCUGUUUGGUUCAUUGCUAGGAUUGAAGGUGCAGAAAUCAAUAAGAGCCUCUUGGCUCUUAAGGAGUGUAUCCGUGCUCUGGACAAUGACCAGAUCCAUAUCCCAUUUCGUGGGAGCAAACUCACAGAAGUGCUCCGCGACUCUUUUGUUGGGAAUUCAAAGACUGUUAUGAUUUCCUGCAUAUCACCUAAUGUAGGAUCAUGUGAGCAUACACUCAAUACUUUGAGAUAUGCUGACAGGUAACGCUCAUACUUUGAGCUUCUGCAAACACAGUAUCUAGUAGCAAUGGUGAUUUUUCUUUGGAGAUAUGAUUAACAAAUUAUCAUAUCACUGUGCAGGGUUAAAAGUCUCUCAAAAAGUGGGAACACGAAAAAGGAUCAAGGUCAAAAUUCAUUGAUACCAAUUAAUAAAGACACUUCAUCUGCUUCUUCUAUCCCUGUUUCUGCUGAUGUGGAGGAUGUUUAUGAACCACAACAAGAUGUGAAAGUGGUGGAUACGGGUAGAAGAGUCACUGAAAAGGAAACUUUAUCUUACAUUCCUACUGUUGAUUAUGACAAACAGCAAUCAAGCUUUUCAUCUGGCUUCAGUGGAAGAGAGGAAAGUGGGGUGGCCUCUGGUUCAAUGGAUAGGGAGAGGUUUGAAAUUAAUAAUGCUUAUGGUGGUUCUACCAGUCAAAAGAUGCGCCCUUCAUAUUCUCAAAAUUCUCUUGAUACAGAAGAGAAAGUGCAAAAGGUAUCACCACCUCGUAGAAAAGGGUCUAGGGAUACUGAAAAAUCAGAAAAGUUGGGAAGCUGGCUGAAAAAAGACAGCAAUGGAUCAGAGCCAUCCACCACAAACUCCAGGCAACAGAGUACAAGCAAUUACAACAUAAAUAAUGUUGGAUCUAAACAACCUCAACCUCAACCUCCAUCAGAUGGGAAUAUCAAUGCUCUUCUUGAGGUCGGUGGCCAUCUACAUAACAAUGCUCAUGGCUUGUAAUUGUUCUGCUCUAUUGAGAGUUCUUUUUCUAGUGGAUUGACAACUUUCUAUGCUUUUUGACUGUUGUAGGAAGAAGAGGCCUUAAUUGCUGCUCAUAGGAAAGAAAUUGAGGAUACAAUGGAAAUUGUUCGUGAAGUAAGUGGAAUUUCCAUCUUUCCACAGAUUAGUAGUUGUGGUUGGCAUUUGAUGAAAUCAGCAUUAAUGUUGUACUUGUCUUGUUCUUGUAUUCUUCGAUAUAUGGAUUCCAGGAAAUGAAACUAUUGGCAGAAGUGGAGCAACCAGGCAGCCUCAUUGACAACUAUGUGACCCAAUUAAGUUUUGUGCUUUCACGCAAAGCAGCAAGUUUGGUCAGUCUUCAAGCUCGCCUUGCCAGGUUCCAGCACCGCCUGAAAGAACAAGAGAUACUUAGUCGCAAGAGAGUUCCUCGUUAGACAGCACUGUUUUUUUCGCAGCUUCACUGACUGCAUCCUGUCUUGUAAUUCUUCUUUCUUUUAUAUGCGGUUUUUGCUUUAUUUUCUGUUGCGAACUAUAGUUUACUUAAUCCUAAACAUUAGUUACUUAUAUAUAUCAGUUUGUGUUGGUCCUGGCAGUCAAAUCACGGAUCGCACUGUCUUGUGAGAGGAAUGGCCGAAUGAAAUUUAGUUUCAGGGCACUAAUGUUGCCUCUCAUGACCAGGCUGACUGAUACGACAGAAACUCUUGUUCAUUGCUUGGUGUUGGGCGGUUUGAGCUGUCAAGUCUAUUUUCAAAUGUGUUAUUGGUGAGGUUGUAACAUGGUUUUGUGGGAAAUGGUUUUGGAAGGUGGACGUAAGGAAAGGUGAAAAUGAAAUAGCUGUAUGAUUACAUUAAGUUGCAGUACUGUGAAAUUACCUUUUUGGUUUCUCAACUACAAUGCACAGUGAGCGUGCGUGUACUAAAAAUCCUCACAAUGUGAAUGAAAUUAUGUUUUUAGCUGUUGAUAAAUUCAAAAAACUCUGCCAUCAGCAAAAGUUUUAAAUGAUUUAAGCUAUUGUUAAUCAUUUAAGUAAAAUGAUUAAGAUGAUUAACUGAGACGUUGAGUGAUUGGUAUUUAAACUAGGUCUUGCCUUGAAUCACUAACUUUCCAGCAGCUUAUCAAAAAGUUUGCUUCCUGAUCAUCAAAAGGGCAGACACGUACAAGAUUUUGAGUUCGAAACCAUACAAAACACGCAACCACGAAUAUCCAUUUCAUUCUCCCAAAAGUGGAACGUACAUAUUGAAUUCCAAAGAAAAGGGGACCAUUAAACUAAGAUGAUAGCUAUAAACACAAAAAUCAAAAUUUUUUAAAACAAUAACUUCCAAAAUCCUUCUAACAACCCAUGCUUGGAUAUAGAAUUAUAGACAAUAUAUAUCAUCGGUCACUGCUACUGGCAUGUGUACCAUAUUCAUCUUACCAGGAUAAUCUUGACCAAUGGAAAACUAAAACUUGCUCUUGACCACCACUGCAAACCCUGACAAAUGCGCAUCUACCCUCCCAAAAUCAGCUAUUUGCUACAUAUGAAUACUAAUACGGCGCCACAAAAUGUUGCUAAUCAGCAGAUUAUUUCCUCUUAAGAAAUCUGCUAUCUUCUAAAUGGUAAGUGCUAAUAUGGUGUUAGAAACAUGCUAUUGAAUUGGCAGAUUCACAUUUUCAAUCAAUCAGCUCUCAUUCUCAGGAUCUCCUUUGCAGUCCUCACUCGAAAAUAGGGCAUAUGGCUCUACAAGAAAAAAUGAAGCAAAAGUUCAAUAGAUGAAACAUUGAAUAUAGGCAAUGCACGCAUGAGUAGGACAAAUAUUCAACCCCAUGACAUUUUACGCGGUGCAAUAAGAAAUGAAAAAUCAUCUCCAAAGUGUUCGAAAAAUCAUCUCCAAAGUGUUCAUUGAAGGAAGUGUUUCUAUUUCAGAAAAGCUCCAACAUUUAAUGCUUUCAGUAACAUAGGUCAAAGCCUACAACAUUGGAGACUUUAAAAUGUAAUUUGUAAUGUUUCAACGUAAAAACUAAUGAGAAAAAUAUUUAAAAAUAUACAUUGUGGAAGAAGACCAAGUUUCUAGUAACUUGUUACCUGGUCAAAACAAAGGCCUAGACCUCUGCUAUAGAAGUCAACAUAUUUGAGCAUAAACAUGCCACAGUCAAACCUGUUACAAUUAAGAAAAAUAAGACCAAAAUAAUUUCAAUUUAAAAGUAUCCAUAAUUAGACAGAAACAACAUAAAACCAGAGUUAUACAGAAAAUGAAAUCAAAUAGGGUAACUUUUUUGAAACAACUAAUGUAUACAACAAAAGAAGCUUCGCCUUGAAUAAAAUGGAAGUAUGAAACAUAAUAGAUAUCCAUUGUCCGAAACAGGUCAUACCAUUUAAACUUUACUUUUUACAUUCUCAAAAAUUGUUCAUAAAAUUGAAUAAAACAGAAUCAUUGCGGUGAAUAUAUUUUUCCUGCUUGACCCCUUGACCCAUCUGCAAGCAGUUGACUAGUAAUUAACAUUCAGAUAACCAUGAAAAAUGAUAAUACACACCCAUUUGCCUGUUCGGGAAGGUCUAAAACAAAUUCUUGUUCCCAAUCACUUACGUCGAUGUCUUUCCCACACUUGUCCCUUACUUCUUCAACGAAAUAUCUAGCCUGGAAAAACCAGAUCAAUAACAUUAGCCAAUCUUUCAUUAAUUAUCUCUAUAACGAGCAACAUGAAUUGCAAAUCUUAAAUUAAUGAAAACUGUUUGUCUUCACCAUCAAGUAAUAACUGUUGAAGUGAAAGCCGCAUUUGUAAAAAGAUGAUAACUAAGAGGUGCCCACCUUCCUUAAAGUGAAGUUCUAUUGUUUAAAGCACACUGUGCCAUACUCCUAUCAAGGAUUAUUAUUUAUUCUACUAUACUUCCACACACUUCAAUACUCGAAUACCUUUUACCAGGAUUACUUUACAUCUAAGUUUCCUAAGCCUCCAAAGUUAUUAACAAUUAAUAGGUUAUGUACAUUUUCACUGAUUAACAAGGCCUGAGGCACAGCUUUAAGAAGUUCAUAGCAAGUUAAGUUUGUAGACAAAGAAGAGAGGAGAACAACUUUCCUACAACAGCUUUACAUUCCUUUGAAUAAUAACUGCACGAGUAACUAAAUGAGUACAAGAAAAUAAUUACUAAAAAAAUACCAGGUCACCCAGCACUUUCUUAUCCCUUCCUUUGAGUGAAUCAAGAUACUGAAACUUCUUAUCUUUCCUAUCAAUCACUGCCAAGCACCAAUGUAUCUGCUUGUGGAUAGGGACAAAUAUCUGAGCCAAAAAAGAUGAAACAACUCAUAGAUCAGUAUAUUAAUCAAUCUGGCAAAUAAUAUGGUAAUAAAAGAAAAGGAUGGUUAAGAAAAACUUUACCUUGUCACACUCAAUGAGACCAUACCCUAAUUUUUUGGCAGAAGUCCAUCUUUUCACAGCUCUGAAAUCAUAGCCCUUGUUUCCGCAAGCUAACUGGACAUCAAGAUCAAAUUAACAAAAGGUAAAAUACACUAACACCAGAAAAUGUGAGAAUGAUUAAUGAAGGGAAAGAAAAACUGAAAGCAAGAGGCAGGGCAGAUAAGUAUAGUUAAUUAAAGUUGAGGAAAAAAUAAGCAAAUUUGUGAGUUCUAAAGCUAGAACAAUAAAACCUAAAAGCAGAUGUGGAAAAUGAUAAGUGAGCAGGCCAAUCAAAUUUGACAAAUUAAUAUGUAGAAUGAGUUAUAAAACAGAAAAUUUGAGGGAAAUAUAGAAAUUCACAGGCAUUAAGAUUAGCAACAAUCAUAGUUUGCUCAUUGGGAAACAAUUUUUUUUCCCCAAAAAAAAAAAAGAAAAAGAAAAGGGAAGAGCAGCAAAUGAUGUCUUAGACUGUUAAUACAAUUAAUAAUGUUCAAGUAUGCACAAUCUUUCAAUGCUAAAUCCUUUUUUUUUUCUUUUCACGAGAAUAAGCAACUCUCGCAAAAGUAGAUAAUAAUAAUGAUAUAUAUCAGCAAUAGGAUUAAGUUUAGCAAACUUAAAACAAAACAAAAAAAUUGAGAGAACAAGUAACCAACCUUAUUGUAGAAAAAUGUGUUAAAAAAGUGACAUUUCAAAAACUUCUGGGGCUCUCUCUUUUCCCUUUCUUUGAGCAACCCAAGGUAGACAUUUAUGACCUACAAAACAGAAGGCAUAUACAAAUGAGAAAUCAUUUUUCACACAAAGAUUAAACGGAUAUGGCCCUAAAAGGUAUACCUCAUCAUUCAACCAUGCCCCAGGUCUAAGGCACUGGAGAAUUUUUCCUGUAAUGUCAAUGCCAGUCUCGGUAUGAGAGACCAGAACCGCCCUCCUGGAAGAGUAAGCGUCAAAUGUUAAAAUACCAACAAUCACCAUUUAACUAACAAGUGAUAUAUCCAUCAAUCAUACCAAUUUGCAGAAAAUGCACGCUCAACCUCAGCCUCUUCCUCUUUUGUAAGAGGGAUAAAAGGUUCGCGAGGUAAUUCCUGAAAAUCAAUUAAUGACGGUUUCAAUAACAGAAAACAAGGGAGCACAUAGCAUUUCAGAAGAGACAGCUUCAACAUUAUUCCAAAGGGGUUAAAGUUCUUUGAAUAGAAAGAGCAAAAACCAACAAAUCAACUGGCAUAUCAGAUUUUAAACUACGUCAAGCCAAAAGAGCUCACCUCUACCUGUUCUUCCUCUGGUUUCUUUAAAGGCCAUAACUGCUUAAGUGAAGCCCAACGCUUCUCAUUUAACUCAAUCUCAAACUCUAUUUCUUUCAACUUAGAACCUCUCUUCUGCACACUCUGCAACAGCUUCUUAUACACAUCAACAGUCAUCUCACCAUUCAAUGACAACAAAUCAAUCAUCUUCGAAACAUCACCAUUAUUUGUAUCCGUAAUCACAGAAGACGAUGAAGGCUGCAAAUUGGUAUGAUAAUUUCUCUCCUCUGCAGAUUUCCCGUCAAUUUCUCCAAUAUCAACCACAGGUUUCUCAUUCUCAUCACUCCCUCGGGGUCUUGGAUCAAACACAAGAGACCUCCCUUCUCUCCCAUGUUCAAUAGCAUCAAUUUCUUCAACACUUGAAUCAUCAGAUAUUACCUCUACCUUUUCUUGUUCAUUAUCAGCAUCAAUCACUUCCUUAUCUUUACUAAAAUACCUAAAAGCACCAAAAGCGCUUUUCUUUGCCUUCUCUAAGUGAUAUCUCAAUACAUUCCCCAUACGAACACCUAAGUUUUGAUUUUCACCAUACCCAUUUGCCUUUUUCGAGCCAAAAGCUUGAUUAGACUUAUCAGCAAACCCAUAUUUGAGUGUUCUACACGGGGCAUGAACUUCUCUUUUCAGUGGAGGCUUGGCUUCUGGAUACCUGGACAUUCGCGAAACGGUGCUAUUUGAUGAAAUUAGGGUUUGGUUUUGGUUUUGCUGCGUGUAAUUGAACCUUGGCCGUUUCGAUAUAUGCAAAUUUUGAUACGGGAUUUGGUAAUUCAAGUACUCGUCUCCCCGCUUACGAUUGCUUGUUAAAGCACCCAUCGAAAUUGAUGCUCAGAUUGGAAGACCCUAGAAACUUCAAAUCCAUUUACACGAACACAUGAUGCAAAAUUAGGGUUUUCUGAUUAAACAAACGUAAUUUGAAAAAAAAAAAAAAACAAAGCGACUGGCUAAACGGUAAAUGCAACGAUUAAAAAUUUAAAUUUUUGAGCUAAUGGCAAAUUUAAAAUCGAACAAAAGCAAGGAAUUGAGAGAAUUAAACAGAAGCCCUAACUUGUGAUAAAAUUGUCCGAAGCAAAAAUACGUAAUGCAGACAGAACGAAAUGCAUAAACAGAGAGAUUUGUUGUCAGGGUUUUGAGCAAUCUCGACGGAUUUUUGGAUCUGAAGAAAUUGGUAGCUUAUUUGUAAUUUUCUGUUUUCUAAUUUUUGAUAUAAUUUUUCGCGGCACAUAGAAGAAAAAAAAUCAAGUAUAAAAUGGAAUUACGGAAACUAAAAAGUUCGAGAGUAGAUGCGCACCGUUUGUGUUUGUGUUAGUGUUAUUAUUAUAAUAAUAAUAAUUAUUAUUUUAAUUGUGGUAGACGUCGGAUGGCAAGUUCACAUGCGUGAUGCGUCACAGAUUCAUUGGUCGUCCAGGUAGCAUUAACGUACAGGGGGCUAGUAUCUUUCAGUCCAUUUUCCUCUCUGUAAAUAAUCCACUCCAAAUUAUCCAAUUCAUGCAAUUUGUCACUAAAUUGCCUAGAAGCUAGAACAGCUAAUCUGACGAUAAAUUACUUUAAAAUUCAUGAUAAUCACAUUAUUAAUCAAAUAUUACGGGAAAUUGUUUAUAUUCAUACUUGGUCUAAUACAAUAAUCUUCCCAGGUAAUAUAUAUUUAUUUUACACCAGUAUAUCCUAAUCUAAAUCCUUGAAAUCAUGAGGUAGCAUAACAAUUUGCCCUUUGAUGGUUGUGCCUCGUGCUAUUAUUGAUUCACAUCACUUGUAUUGAUACGACUGUCUUAAACCAAGUUGCUGAUUUUGACUAUAAGAAAAUCAUAUAUAAAGAGUUGAAAGUGCUUGAAACUACGUGCACUGUGCCGUCCGAUUCAUAUUACACCAUUUCCUGUCGCAUAACCAAAUUCACUUAUUGUUGAAUGGUUCAGAACUCUGUUUAUGUCCCAUCUCGGUUGCCUUAUCAGUAAAAUUGCUGAACAUGAGGGCAACAGCAUCCAAUGCCAGCAAUGAUGAUCGGUUGGCAAACUCGAAAAGCAACCAACCCAUUGGCUAAAUUAAAAAAAACUUUUGAGAAAUUAUGAGAAUGGAAAAGGAGAAAUCUGGAGCUUUUCAGGUUUUUCACAUCUCUAAGUUGGCAGCGUUCAAGGCUCUACUUACGGUGAUAUAAACCAAUGGCAAGCAAAUCAAUCAAAUUACAUCUGAUUCAAAUUUAAACAAAAUGGGAGGAAGAAUGAAAAUAGUUACCUCCCAAAUAUCUUCAUCUGACUACGAGUCAAUAGGGUCAAUGUUGCUUCCUACAGUCCCUUCGAAAAGAAUUGGUUCUUGAGGAAUUAUCCCAAAACAAGACCUCAGAUCAGCAGAUCAAGCUUGCAAAUGUCAAUUCCGUCGAUGAUAAUUUCCCCACCUAGAGGCUCCACCAACCUAAAGAACACUUGUAGAAGAGUUGACUUGCCACUUCCUGUACGGCCAACUACUCCAAUCUUUUCUCCUCCUUGAAUGCUUAAGAGUUAUUCAUUUCAGAACCGGAGGCGUGUUUGACCUAUAUCUAGCCCUGCUCACCGAAAUUCAUCAGUUUUAGAACCCUUUAUGAAUAAUCCAACAGUAGAGAGACUUGUUUCAUGUUGAACUAGAAAAAGAAGUUACCUGCACAACUCAAUGUUACCAUUGCUAGGACAGUUUGGUAGGGAAAGAGCAUUUAUCAUAUUCCAUGGAGCUGCAGACGAAAUGUUUGUAACCUACUUGAUCCUAUCAACAGAAACCAUUCGGUUCUCUAAGAAGCAACCCAUGUAUAUGGUCCAAAAACAGAACACCAUUGAGAGGCAGGGCGUAGGAAAGCAAUGUAGCAUCAUAGAAAUGACCACUGGACUGCAACGGCAGAAGGAUUUCAACUUUUUAGGGACUGAAUAAGUGAACUUGAACACGAGAGGCAUGUCAGCCAAGAUGCCGAUGGCAUUGUUUAUCAAGAAAAAAUAACUCGAAGCUAGCUUGCUUUUUCUAGACUAGCCUUCUUCAACUAGCCAGGAGAUAAGUAAAACAACUAGAUAAAUAUUAAUGAAGUGUAAACAACAUGUAUGUAGCAGGCAUAAUGGAAUUAGAGAUAAAAAAGAACAUAUUGCUCAAGCGACUCCCAAGAAUUGGAGAUUUAACUGAUCGGCUAAACCAAUAACCUGGAUGAAAUCUCUCAAUAGUUAAAGCCUCUUUGGGUGGUACAGGAAAUGCAAGGGUUUGCAUCUCACUUCUAAUGGCAGGGGAGGAGUUUAAUUUAUAAUUUAAAUGAAAAAUACCCAAAUGAAAGAUGUUGAGAAAUUUAGGUGUGGGCAUAGGUUGGCUUCGAUGGGACAUGGGAGUAUAUGAAAAUCCAACCCAACCCAUUAUUGAAUAAAUUGAAAUGAAAUUAAGUCAACCCAACUAAAUAAAUAUAUUCAACUUAAUUUAAUCGAACCCUUCAAUCAUCAUGUUGGGUUGAAUGUCAAAUUGAAAUUAAAAAUUAAAUAAAAAAAGAUAUAAAAUUGAAGUGAAACUUAUUGAAAUUAAAUAAAAAUGUAUUAUAACAUUAAAUUUUCAUUUACUGUCUAGUAUUCGAUAAAGAAAGAUAAAAAGUAAACCAUCUUAAGAUUAAGAAAAUUUCGAAAAUAAGCUUCUAGACAUGCAUGUUUUGUGAAAAUAAAUAAGCCAACUCGUUCUUAUUAGUUAAAGUACAAUUAAAAAAAAUUAAGAACGAAUAAUUGAAAAAAAAUAUAUUGCUUUGAUUACAAAUUGAGAUUUGAGAGAGUAACUUUAGUAUUAGAACUAAAAUCUAGAGCAGUGGAUACGAGAAAGAAAUAAUCUCUUUCAUAAAAAAAUAUUAAAAAUUAGGUUAGUUGUUUAGGUGUUUAGGGUUUCGUAGUGCUUGCUUGAUAUGACUUAUUUAAUAGCUGUAAGUGCUUAUUUAAUCUCAUAAGCUCUUAUCAUAAUUUUGUUAUUGUUUGGUUGUUUUUCUAAUAGAGAUUUUGAAACUUAAAUAAGUUAUUUUACCUCUACUAGUAAAAGCUCAAAUUUUAGGCUUUUGGGAGUAGAAGUUGAAUUUUUUUUUAAAUGUUAAAAUAUCUAAAAUAUCCUAUACUUAUUUACAAUUUUAUUUUAUUCUUUUUAUAACAUAACUUUUAAAAUUUUGUUUAUUAAAGUAAUUUCAUAAAUUUUUAAUAAAAGCUCUUAUUGACAACCAAACAACUAAUUUUUUUUUUAGUAAAAGCUCUACUAACAAAAACUCUACUUAAAUAAUCUCUAUUUGAAAAGCUAUACCAAAAAGAGCCGUAAUCAAAUAUUAACAUAUUAUUAUUAUUAUUAUUAUUAUUAUUAUUAUUAUUAUUAUUAUUAUUAUUAUUAUUAUUAUUAUUAUUAUUAUUAUUAUUAUUAUUAUUAUUAUUAUUAUUAUUAUUAUUAUUAUUAUUAUUAUUAUUAUUAUAUAUGUCGGUCAAAUUGGAUAAAAUGGUUCAUAAUAAUUAAUCUAACCAAACUUAAUUAUUAAUUAGAUUCGAAAAAAUUAACCCAAUUAACUCACUUAACCCCUCAAAAUCAUAUUGGAUUGGAUCAGGUCUAUCAUAUUUGAAUUGAGUUUGCCCACCUCUAUAAUGAGAAUAACGAAGAAAACUUAAGAAAUAUUUCUAUGCUCUCUCAUUGAAACUCACAACACAUUAAAAACUUAGGACUUGUUUGAUAUUAAGAAAAAUUAUAAUAUUAAAAUAUUUUGUAAACAUUUCCUACUAUAAUUUAAAAGUAAAGUUAAUUUAAUACUAUACUUGUAUUAUAAACUGAUUUAAUACUAUACUUGUAUGAUUAAAAAAUCCUAUAAUAUUUUUAAUUAUUUUUAUAAAAAUAAUUAUUUAAUAAUCGUAUUUACUAUAUACUAUCAAUUUUUAUUUAAUAAUUAUAAUUUUCUUCCUCAUAACAACUAUAGUUUAAUUAUAGCUUAAAAAAUCACAUUAUCACAAUACCAAAUAAGACAUUAAUGAACUUGUAUCUUUCCUGACUUUUGGGCAAAUGAUAAUCAUAUGAAAAGUAAAUGCUUGCCGACGAAAACAUUAUGUAAAAGGGUGCCUCUAAGUUACGUUAAGCGUAACUUACGUUUUUUGUCUUUUUUCUUCUGGCGAAUUUCACACGAGUCCUUGUAUUCUUUAUGUUUAUGGAUGUAUUUGCCUUCUUUUAUCAAUUAUACAUCUAUUUUUCAUUCUUUCCAAUGUUCUUUUUAUUUUUUUAAAUAAUAACAUACGAUUAUCAAAUGGCCAAACCUAGGUUACGUGUAACGUAACAUACAUUCAAGAAGUGAAAUAUCUAUUGGCACCCUUGAAUUUUAUGGAAACUACAUUAAUUGAAUUAAAAUGGUAAAUUAAAAUAUCAAAUGGUAUCUAUUAAUCAGAAUUAAUCAGAGUAUAUGUUGAUAAUGUCCUUUAAUCAGAAUUAAUUCUUAGGAAUGAUUUUAACGGUAAUUCUGAAAGCUAUUGCAUGUUAAUUUUGAAGUCUGUCAUGUAUAUUUUUUAUAUUUUUUAUAUAAUUUCUCUUUAAUUUAAUUAUAUAAUUAAAUUACAUGCAAUAAACCUACAAUUCAAGACUAGGAUUAAUAAAUUUAGGACCAGAAGUUUAUUCUGAAUUUAUAGAUUUGUAUGAAUUUGAUAAUCAUUUAAUAAUGUUUAAAGAAAUAAAUAAAACUUUAGAGAAAAUAAAAAAAUCGAUAGGAGGGAUGGAAGAAGACAAAUACAUCCACAGCUGUAAAAAUUGAAAAUAAAAAGAAUUAGGAGGGCUCAUAUGAUAUUUGCCAAAAAGAAAAAGACAAAGAACGUAAGGUACAUUGAUUGUAACUUAGGCGUUCCCGUUGUAAAAUUAUUUUAUUUUCUUUAAAAUCACACUUGAAUGCGUUCUUAAAUUGGUAGACGAAGAAAAACUCCACGCAAAGAAUCUGAAGAAUAUGAUUAGAUCACGGCACAUGGCGGCUACGACUAAUGAUAUGGCACAAGAAACUUUCCCAAGAUUUUUUGUCAGAUACUUUUAAUUGAGUCUGCCUUGUGGACUUGACUAGCUUACAGGAUCUGUAAGCUACAGACUGCAGCAUCAGCCGUUGGAUGUGGUUGGAUGUGGAGUGAGAAACUAAACAAUAGACAAUCGGAUGGUGGGAUGACGGGAAAUGUUUGUUACAGAAUCUGUACCAUAGACAGGUCCCUGCCUUGUAUUCAGGAGCCCUUAUGGCUUAUGUUAAUGCACAUAAUAGACAUUAAAGUACUGGUAAUGUACGGUAUACAAAUACAAAGUAAAUGAAACUAGGAAAUUGUAUUACAAUGAAUAUUUCUAUUUGUUGACUAUGAUUCACAGAAGUGAAGGCUAUGAACAAAACUGAAGAGAGAAGUUGAAUGUACAGGCACAAUAUCUGUUCUCACUAAAUAUUUGCGUGAAAGAAGGGCUGCUUGGCCUUGAUUGGGGGAAUUUAAAAAAAAAAUGCAUCUGCAGUCUACAUCUGAAACACUUAUUUUAAAAAAAAAAAAAAAAAACCUGAAUUAGCACGGAGUGACAUUGAUUGAUUAAUUUAUCACAGUUCAGGUCAAGGAAGGGAAAUUACCUUGUAUAAAAAUCACACGAGCUGCACGACAGCAGCCACUCUCAAGGUCCCAUUUUGGAGAAUAUCAGCAAGCUCAUCAAACAACAGAGCUGUGCGCCAGCCCCAUCCCUUUGGAGCCUUUGGUAAAAGAGUGCCCCUCUGUUUGAAGCUCCCAAACACCAUGACUUCUCUCUUUGAUGGGCAUAUCAACUAAUAACAGGCAUAAAAAAAGCAAAAUCACAACAGGUACCCUUAGGGUUUGUGUAUAUAUAUAAGAAUUUUGAUUUACCUGAUAACGAGCAGUAACCUUUUCACGAGAAUCCACAUACAUAUGAACCUGAAAAGAUGAGUCAGUAAUAUCAGCAGGAAAGGAGGUAAUAAUUAGAAACUUUUCGGUCAAAAAUAUGAAAAUAAAAAGGUGCGGACACACAGAAACAAAUAAACACGUAAUCCAGCUUCAUUUUAUCAAGACUAAGGCUGACCUUUCGAUAAGAAUCAGUAAUCUCUGCCUUCCGACGGUGAAGAAACAAUCCUGAAAUUAAGUAUUUAUCUCUAGUGAUGCUGGUCCUGAUAGGACAAAUUAUUUUAAAGAAAAUAUUUCCAUGAACAUUACCAAGAGUUCGGCGCCCUUGAGGAUCUUCAUCGUUAAAAGCCUGAACACUUACCUGAAAUUCAAAUAGAGCAUAUAAAUCCAAACUCUACUAGAAAAGGUCAAAGAUAAACCCCAAUAAAGUUUUCAAUCUAUGAACAGAAAGACAUGUUGAUAUUUGGAUACCUUCCACAGAGAACCUGCAUAAAAAUAUUCUGGAGAGUGCUUAACUUGGCCAUCACUGAGCCUGUGCACAUCCUCAAAUUCAAUCCUGCAGAACCAGCCAACUUUUCACAACAUAAUACCACAUGUAACACAUGCCGUUGACCAUGCAAGGGAAGAAAAUGUUACCCAAAACGAAAGGGAGGGAAGUGACUCAGAGGUGUUUUCAUAUCCAAUGAUAUAGAAGAGCCAUUUGCAUUCUCCCACUCAAUUCCAACAGCAUGCUCUGGUGACUCGAGCAUCUGCAUGGAAAUACCACUAGUACUUGGACCUGAGAUAGAAGUAGAAGACAAUCUGCUUUGCAGCUCUGCCUCAUCUCCAUGAACAUUAGCCGUAUCAUUCCCUCCUUGGCUUAACCCAACAAUAGCUGUCAACCCAUCUCCCGAUAGGUCUCCACUGUGGUCAGUUCUAGCUUCUGCAUCGUCAUUAGCCGGAGAUUGCUGACAAUUUCUAUUGCCCAUGCCAAAGGGCACACGGGAAAAGACAAAUCGCGUAGGAGGCCAUGCAGCAGCCGGCACAAAUGUAGUUCCCCGUCCAAUACCUGCAAGCCCAUCAAUUUGACCCCUAACAUGAACUCUUACAGGCCUGAAGAGGCCAUUUGCUUCACCUUGAGAAGAAUCAGCAACAUAUAUAUUUCCAAUGCUGCCAGGUGAAUUACUCUGAUCAUGGUCUUGCAUAUAAUAUCCACCGGCUGUAACUCCAUGGGAAAAUCCAAAAGGUUGCCUGCAAGUGCAAGCCAUACUAAUACGGCAGCAAUUUUUGCACGUGUCAGCAACAAUUUGUUGCACCCUCUGGCUUAAAAGCAUCUACAUGAUAACCAAAAAAUUGAAAAGAUUAACAUCCUCAUAUAUGAAUAACUUAAAAAAAUAAAAUAAGAGCUUUUCGAUGGGAUUGGUGACUUUGAAUGCUAAAGGGAAAAAAAACUGGUGAUGAACACCCUGUUUGUAUGCAAAUAUGCAGCAUACUCAUCCCUUUUGUACAAGUAUCCUCUCUACAUAACAAUAAACAAAUAAUGAUAGAAGGAACCUGCAGCCAAAGACCAUCAUUUACAGCUUUGCAAGGAAAUCCCAAUUCUUCAAGCUGCUUUCUCACAUUUAAAAGUGCCUCAAAAGACAUGUUGCAGUAUAAAAGAGAGCCGCCUUCAAAUAUAUUGACAAAAGCAUCAUAUUCCUCGCCACUCACCCCAGGAUUCCCUUUAGCAUUACCAUUUACCUGUCUUCUAUCCACAACCCUGCCACCCCAUGAAAGAGCAGGCAUGCCACAUCUUCCCCAAUCAUUCACCAUACAGGAAGAAUCCAUUGAAGAGCAAUGUUUUGAUUGGUCACUUGCAAGCCAACUGCUGUUAUUUAUACAGUAGCACGGGCUUUCUUCAGAUGGUCCCUCCAUAGAAAGAGUAUUGGUCCCCAGUCCCCCGGUUCCAACUCCUAUUGCCAUUUCACCACAAGAACAUGAAGCUCUAUUUCUAUCUGUAUUCGAGUAUGAACUACACAAAGAUGAAGAUUGAUUCAUGUUGCAGGUAUAUACAGGCUCCAAUUUUGGGCGAUUGUAUACAGCUUGUUGCAUCUGUUGCUUGGAAUCAGAAACCCCUGUUUGUAAGUCAACCACACAGUCUGCAAGCUCAACCAGAAGAGUGCGAGCCGCAUUCUGGCCCUCCAGGUCAUCUGUUAAAUUUAAGUAUCCUUGCUGAGAAUUCAACCUCUUAUUCAAGCAGCUAUUGGUCAAAUUUUUUCCCUUUGCUUUAUAAGAAUCAGGAGAGAUACCUGCUCCCGCCUUAGAACUGGAACUUCCUUGCUCAAAACAUUCUGUCUUACAAAAAGCACCUUUUGGGAGGAAUGCAUACAAAGCCAGUUCAAACCUUUUAAUGAAAAACAUGAAAAAAAUUAUUAUACUAGUUCAUGAAAUUUCAAGCUUUGAACCUCAAAUCACAACUCUUACCGUUGUUCUUCACUUGGUACCCACAGUUCAUCUGAGGUCAGCAAUGCAUGCAAAGUUUGAGGAGACAGUUUUGGAAGCACCUACAUGAUCAGAAUGAUCAACAAUAUAAGGCCCAAUUGUCCAAAAUCAAACUACAAAUUUUACAAGGGAAAAUCUUCUACAAGUUAGAAUUGAACCAUAAAGUCACAAUUGAAAUCACAUUAAAAACCUUUGGUAUAGGAAGCCACAUUAUUCCUAAGGUGGACAAAUCAAAAUUAUUUGAAUAAAUUGUUACGGACAAAGCCAUGCGGCAAAAGGACAACAUAUACAACAAUGCAGUCAAAAAUAUUUUACCUCUUUCAAUUCUACAGCACCGCUUUGACAAAGGUAGCCCCAACAAGCAUUCCUUACGCGUUCUCCAUGUAUGCCAUAAUCUUGAUUCUCCGCAAAUACCUGAAAUUACAAUUAUGACUUAGUUUGAGAAAAACAAAAAUGCUUUAAAGCAAUUAAGGUAACAAAAAGCAUGUUUAACCUGGUAAGCUAAGAAAUUUGAAGUCCACAACUCGGAUAUAAUAAAAUCAGUGCAUAUUGCACAUAAAUCCUGCAUCAAAAACACCACUAUUAACACAAAAUGGACAUUAACACCAUAAAAGAUAUAAAAAUCAGUGAAAAGAAUAUCAUUUAACCUGAAGGUCAAGAAAUGAAGCAGCAGCCAAAACUCGAAAAGCAUUAGCAUCAUUAAGCUUAGGACGAUGGCCGUACAGAUACGCCAAAGCCAUUGCAAUUGCCUCCCCAUUCACAUUCUUAUCAUCCACGUGUAACGUCACCACUGGAGCACUCGCUUCCUUCCAAUGAUCGUGUAACAUGUUCCUAAAAAAGAAUCAUUGUUUCAUGUAAAUUUACUAUUACGUCCACGUUCUUCAGUGGAAUUUAGUUAGUUAUGGCGGAUACCUAAAGUAAGAGCUGCGAGAGAGGAUUAAGCGAUGGAGGUGGUAGGUGGACCCCAUGACGUGAACGAUGAUAUCAGAGAAGGAGCCGGAAUUGAAGCCUUCCAUUUGGAUGUGAUCGCAGAGAGACGUCAGAUUACAAUCGAGCGCACGUAAUUCGCCGCUGCUCCGGUCGUUGUCAGUGUGCUGCGAGGGUGGUAUCGUCAUUUUGACUGGCUGGUGUUGUUGUGGCCCAUACAAUCGAGGUCUGAUGUAGUGCGGUUCCAUUGUACGUCACCGUUUCGAGGUUUGGUUUGAGUUAGUUAUUUGUGUUAGAGAGUCGUCGAGAUCGGAGAAGGCAUUGUUUGAGGAAAAGCUCGCUGAGUCUGUGUGGAUUGGAAAUGAAUCCUAACACUGGUGUGUGCGCUAUUGCCUGUUAGUAUGAGAGACGAGGUAAAACGCUGCGUUUUAGAAACCGAAUAACAGAUAAAAAGACGAUCCGUUGUGCUGUGACGGUGCUGUUUUAAACGAUCAAACUGCCAGGGUCCAGGGCUAGUCGAUUCCACGAACCAGAGAGUCUUUACUCAUUGGUCAAAAGUUGGGAUGAUUAAGGGUAUUUCAGACUUUUCAUAAAAAUUUGGGCUAGAUUUCAAAAGAACUACAGCGAGGUUCUAUUCGUCAUGAAAGGUUCUCCGGAUGGCUUAUCAAACGAAAUUGUCCUAGAAUCUCACAUAAACCCUGCUGGUUCUAUGCGCGCAAUCUUUUCAAGGUAAAUGAAUUAUCUCGAUUAAGAAAAAUUUGUUUUUUUUAUUUUUAACUUUUUUGAUAUACAGUGAAGAAGCAAUAAUUUUUGCCUCUUUUCUUGUUUUGAAUAUCGAACUAUAUACUGUGUUAAUGUUUAUGUCUAUGUAUGCAGGGUAUUGUUGGAUACACGCGUGCUCUGUUUUGGGUUAUUUUGUUCAACUUAUCGAUAUAGAACAGAAAGGGCGUAGCAGAAUUUUGUCAUGUCUAUAUGAAGAUGCUCUUAAGAAACCCAGGUAAAAUGAGUGAAAUGGUUCUCUCUUUUUAUAUCUUCAAAUGGUUUUGGAUCAUAACUUGUAGUUGCUGGAUUUUGCUACGAAUUCAGGAAGAAGACUACGGUAUCAAAUUUUUGAUAUUUCUAAAAGGUUAUCGUCAUGGUCGGAUGGGUCUUCCUUUGGGUCUGAUGGGAAAGUUGUUUUGUUUGGGGAUGGGAGUUAUCAAGGAAAUUCGAGAAUGAAUGAUUGGGCAAGAACAGUUGUUGAUGAUGUGUACAAUAUUUUGCAUGCCGGUCCUUGGGGACCUGCUGUUGAGAAUGCUUUAUCCUCACUUGAUGGGAUGCCUCAACCAGGACUAGUUAUUGGAGUCUUGAGGAGGCUGAAGGAUGUCAAUCUAGCAAUAAAUUAUUUUCGGUGGGUUGAGAGGAAAACUGAUCAAGCUCAUUCUCUAGAAGCUUACAAUUCACUUCUUAUGGUGAUGGCUGUGAGCAAAAAUUUUGAGCCUCUAGAAGAGAUUUUGGGCGAAAUGAGUCUUGCAGGAAUUGGUCCUACAAAUAACACAUGUAUUGAGUUAGUUGUAAGCUGUGUCAAGUCAAAGAUGCUGAGAGAAGCUUUUGAUAUUAUCCAAACCAUGAGGAAGUUCAAAUUCCGCCCUGCUUUUACAGCUUAUACAACUUUGAUAGGUGCACUUGCUACGGUUCGGGAAUCAAAUCUCAUGCUCAAUCUCUUUCAUCAAAUGCAGGAGCUAGGUUAUGAAGUAAGUGUCCAUUUGUUUACAACUCUCAUUCGUGUGUUUGCCAGGGAAGGACGAGUUGAUGAUGCUCUCUUCCUUUUGGAUGAGAUGAAGAACAAUGCUUUUAGUGUUGACAUUGUUCUUUAUAACGUCUGUAUUGACUGCUUUGGUAAGGUGGGAAAGGUUGAUAUGGCCUGGAAAUUCUUUCAUGAGAUGAAAGCACAAGGUGUAGCUCCUGAUGAUGUAACUUAUACUAGUAUGAUAGGGGUUCUCUGCAAAUCUAAGAGACUGGAGGAAGCUGUGGCGAUGUUUGAGCAAAUGGAUCGUAACAGAGAAGUCCCAUGUGCAUAUGCUUAUAACACCAUGAUUAUGGGUUACGGCUCAGUUGGAAAGUUUGAUGAGGCAUUCAGUUUAUUUGAAAGGCUAAAACAAAAGGGAUGCAUACCAAGUGUAAUAGCAUAUAAUUCCCUUCUUACUUGCCUAGGGAAGAAAGGAAGAGUAACAGAAGCAAUGAAGAUCUUUGAGGCCAUGAAGAAAGAUGCAAGGCCCAAUAAUACAACCUACAACGUUCUUAUUGACAUGCUUUGCAAGGCUGGAAACUUUGAGGAUGCUCUGAAGUUUCGGGAUGCCAUGAAAGAAGCUGGCUUGUUUCCUAAUGUAAUGACUGUAAACAUAAUGGUUGACAGACUGUGUAAAGCUCAAAAACUAGAUGAAGCUUUUUCUAUAUUUGAAGGAAUGGAUCACAAAACUUGCACCCCAGAUGCUGUUACUUUUUGCUCGCUUAUAGAUGGCUUAGGCAAGAAUGGCAGAGUGGAUGAUGCAUACAAGCUUUAUGAAAAGAUGUUGGACACUGAUCAGAUUCCAAAUGCCAUUUUAUAUACUUCCCUGAUGAGGAACUUCUUCAAGCAUGGCAGGAAGGAGGAUGGUCACAAAAUAUACAAGGAAAUGGUGCAAAGGGGCUGUUCUUCUGAUUUAAUGCUCCUUAACACCUACAUGGAUUGUGUUUUCAAAGCUGGAGAAACGGAGAAAGGCAGAGCUUUGUUUGAGGAAAUAAAAGCUCAGGGGUUUGUUCCAGAUGUGCAGAGUUAUUCCAUCCUUAUUCAUGGCCUUGUGAAAGCAGGUUUUGCCCAUGAAACCGAUCAGUUGUUCUAUGCAAUGAAGAAGCAAGGCUGUGUUUUAGACACCCGUGCUUACAACACAGUUGUUGAUGGAUUUUGCAAGUCUGGGAAGGUCAACAAAGCAUACCAGCUACUUGAGGAAAUGAAGACAAAAGGUCACUAUCCUACUGUUGUUACAUAUGGUUCUGUCAUUGAUGGGCUUGCUAAAAUUGACAGGCUUGAUGAAGCAUACAUGCUUUUCGAAGAAGCAAAAUCAAAAGGAAUAGAGUUAAAUACUGUUAUUUAUUCCAGUCUUAUUGAUGGUUUUGGGAAAGUUGGUAGAAUUGAUGAAGCAUAUCUUAUAAUGGAAGAGUUGAUGCAGAAAGGUUUGACACCUAAUGCAUACACUUGGAAUUGCUUGCUUGAUGCCUUGGUGAAAGCGGAGGAAAUUAGUGAAGCCUUUGUCUGUUUCCAGUCCAUGAAAGACUUGAAAUGCACUCCCAACCAUGUAACUUACAGCAUUAUUAUAAAUGGUCUUUGUAGGGUUAGAAAAUUUAACAAGGCCUUUGUAUUUUGGCAAGAGAUGCAAAAGCAAGGGUUCAAGCCCAAUACCAUCACCUACACUACCAUGAUCUCAGGACUUGCAAAGGCUGGUAAUAUCACGGAGGCUAAUGGGCUGUUUGAGAGGUUUAAGGAAAAUGGAGGUGUACCUGAUUCUGCUUGUUAUAACGCUAUGAUGGAAGGGUUAAGCAAUGCAAAUAGAGCAAUGGAUGCAUAUACACUUUUUGAGGAAACUCGGCGGAAAGGUUUUAACAUUCAUACCAAAACUUGUAUUAUUCUCCUAGAUGCACUGCAUAAAGCUGAAUGUCUCGAGCAGGCAGCUAUUGUGGGUGCAGUCUUGAGAGAAACUGCAAAGUCUCAACAUGCAGCGAGAUCUUGGUAACAUGAUUUCUUAAUUAGUUUUCAGGGGGCUAACUGUUUUGGUAGAAAGGGGAAAAGCCUGAUACCAUAAGUAAUUUCCGUAUCAUUGGACAACAGAGUUAUGCUGGUAACAAUUCUUCAUCUUAUCACUUUCUUAAUGUGAAUUAAGUUGCCCUGAUAAGAGGGAUUUCCUUACUUGUAAUUUAGGUAAUCCAAUUUGGAACGAAUUGAUGUUUUGCAAAUGAAAAAUGAACUUGGAUUCAGUGCUGAACUGAUUUUUUUAAGAUUGUGAUUGAUAGUUAUUGGAUAAGAAGUAAUAUGUAAUCGAAUUCUAACUGUCUAUGAAUGUAUGUAUGGUUGAAGAUUAUGAAAAGCUCGGCAUAGCUCGGCAUUGGAUUCAAAUUCAUUUAAAAAAAUUCUAAAGUUCCAAUGAUUCUGGACAGUGAACUUUACAGAUUGGGUAAUAUAAAUUGGCAACCCCGUGCAGAGACUUGGUGUGCCCCUAAUAUGAUAUUUAAUGGCAUGAAGUUUAUUUUUAUUUCUGCAUCCAUGGCUCUGCAAAUGUCACAAUCUUCUUAUUGCAUUCUCCAAAUCCGAACAUGAUUGAAAUUUAGUAUUUUAUAUUUGCUUAAAAAUCAAUGGAACAACCGCUAAUUUGUGAUCAUUAUUAAUAUCUUCUCAAAUUCCUAGGACAAUUGUUUCACUUGAUUCUUAUGAGGUCACUUCCUUAGAAGUUUGUUGCUGCAUCUCAGAGCUCUGUUAAAUUCUGCUCCAACACUACUUAGCUAACUCAUGGAUUGCAGAGAACAUUGUCUAUUUGUCUGAGAGUCUUCUCCUUCAUAGUUAGCCUCCUUUUGGGGUACAAUAUCGAUGCCAUAAUCAAAUUCUUUCGUAUCCCCUUGACCGGUACGAGGUACUUAUCUGUCAAAAUGCAUAUCUUGGACAAGCAUUAUUGAUGCGGAGUUGCGAACCAUCUUGUUCUGUGUAACCUACUUGUCAUGCAUAAUAUCGUAUUUUGAGAGGUAAAUCCCACAUGAAAUAGUUGGUUAUCUUAAUAUUUUGAAAGGUGAUAUUUUAACCAUUUGUACCGUGACUAUUUUUUUUAAUGUUUCAAAUUCAAAUAGAAGGGCUUGCGUUUAGAAAUGUAGUUAGCUUUUGGAACAGCAUUUGCAGACAAUAUUGGCUCUUCAUUUACCUUCUUGUGAGUGGUGAUACUAAAGAUGCAGUUUGUUGAUUAGAUUCUUUUGCUUGCAACUUCUGUUGAUUAAAUGCUCGAAUACCAUGCUUAAAAACAGCGAUAAAAGAAAAAAAAAAAUCGAUGCAAGAGUAUCAUCUGCCUGUUUCUGGGGAAGUACAUAAAGUUGGAGAUGUGUAUAGCAGGCUGUUAAAUAUGAACAAAUAAAUUAACUGCUCACUGGAAAUUAAUCAAAGGUGCCACGGCCCAAAGAAGUUUAUUAUAAUUUGAAGGGUAAUUGUCAGCGACCUCCCCUGAAGUUUGGCAUAUUAACAAUUAGAUAGAAUAUAUUGAUGUAAUUACAGACACCUCCCCUACCGUUAGUUAUUAGUUAAGUUGAUUGUUAGUGGACUGUCUAAAUUACUAAAAUGCCCUUCCCGCUAAAACAAUAAAUUAUUAAAGAAAACUUUGAGAACCCAUUAGCAAUAAGAUUAGUUAGAAUCACAAAACAUUUAAAAAACCAAAAUACCCCCGAUAUAAAGUAAUUGACAUUGCAUAUUAAAAAAAAAUUCCUAAAACACAUUUAUUUCAUAUAAGAGAAUUUUAAAAUAACAAAUCACAAUUCAUUGAAAAACCAACAAGGCAAUUUUGAAAUCAUAUUUCAUUUUCAUUUUCUAAAAUAAUGAACAUGCCCAUCACUUAGAUCAUAUCUCAAUUUUAAGUACAUUCAAACAAACCUUAAAAACCCACCCAAAACGAAAAUAAUAAAAAUAAAAAUAAAAACAUCUUUGUCUAGUAAAAUUAAAAACCUAAACGACUAACUAAGCAAAUCCCAAAACACCCAGAUCCAUCUACCGAUGCAACAAACUUCAUUCAAGAAGUAAACUUAGUAACAGCCUUGGUACCCUCAGAAACAAUGUGCUUAACUAGCUCACCAGGAAGCACAAGUCUCCCAACGGUCUGAAUUUCCCAAGAUGUAAUCAUCGGCUUCUUCUUGUACCUUGCAAACUCCUCAAAAAUAUUGUGCCUUGCUCGAGAUUCCAAUAUCAGGAUGGACUUGCUUUAGAACUUUAAAGAUGUAGAUCUUGUACGUCUUGAUACUUUUCUUGGCACACUUCAUCUCCUUGUCGCUAGAGGCGGCUUUCUUCGGAAGUUUCUUCCCGGCCUUUGGCUUCUUCUCCAUCGCGCCUUAGUGGAAGAUUUGAGCCAACACCAAAAUCUAAAGCUAAAAAUUUUUAUAAUCUUGAUUUCUUCACAACUUCAUAAAAAAGAUGAAAAUGGUGCUGGGUUUUUGCUUGUUUGAGCGAGAAAGGUAAGUGGGUGUUUUAUUUAAUGGAUAUUUUAGUUUUCUUUUGUCCACUAGUCAUUGCCAAACUUUGGUUAAUAGGGUGCAGCAGUCAAAAUUUAUCAUAUAUCUCGAGCUUUAUUUCAAAUUAUUUUAAUAAUUAAAUAUAUUUUUACAUAUUUACCAUUUGUACUAAUGUUAUACAUAUUUUUAUACUAAUAGCAGGGGAGGUGUCUGUAAUUACAUUAAUAUAUUCUAUCUAAGUGUUAAUACAUCAAACUUCAGGGGAGGUCCCUGAAAAUUACCCAUAAUAUGAAAGACGACACCUUGGGGGAUAUGGCCGUACAUCAUGCCACGCGUCCUAAUGAUCUCAACUUCGGCCGCUAUAAAUCUUCCAAAAUCGUUAGUAUUGGAGAAAUAUGACCGUUACCAGAAAGGUCCAACGUCUCUUUGCAACUUUAAAAUUUGAAAGAGCUAACAAAUAGGGAACUCUACCACUUUCUGUAUUUGCAUCAAAAGUUCUUGCAAGUUUAAAUCAAUCUCUUCAAAAUUCCAAUAUCUCUUGGAAAAAAAAAAUCAUCUUCCUGACUCAAGAGUAGCCAUGGCGUUGAGACCCAUUGAUAAUGCUCUCCCCAUAACUACACCGGAGAGGCCCAAAAAGCAGGUAAAAUUUGCAGCUCCAGUCCAGAAACAGCCUGAUCUCAGUGUUAAUGAUGAAAACAAGGCUUCAUUUCCGCCAUCUGCAGAUGCCUUCAUUGAUUAUAUCCCCUCCGAGAACCUCAAAGCCAUUCCUGACCCCGAGUCCAUGAUCCCAGUAAGUUUUAUUUCUAUAUAUAUCAAAUUGGUUUUGUGUUCUAUCUUUUCUAACGUUUAAGAACAAACCCAGUAGCGGUUUCGAUUAAUGUUUUUGAUUUGGGUGCCUGGUGGAUUUUUAGUGCUUAAUUGAAGGCCUAGAUUCAAAGGAUUGGACGAACGUUUGUGAAUCACUUAACAAUGCCAGGCGAUUUGCACUGCACCACUCCUCUCUCUUGGAACCUAACUUGUAAAUGCAUCAACUUUGUGUCAUUCUAUAUGUGUGUGCGUGUGUGUGUGUUUCUGUUUGUUAUGUUGUGGAGUAACAUCCAUGAGUGAUUGUGUAAUUUAGGGAAAAAGUGAUGGCGGUGGUGGUGAAGGCUAUGAAGAACCCAAGAAGUGCUUUGUGCAAAACCUCUAUUAUGGCGGCAUCUGAUAUUUUCAGUGCUUUUGGUGACAAAUUGCUUGACUCCACUUCGGAUGCACUCGAUAACUUGGUACUCCAGCUACUGAUGAAAGCUUCUCAAGACAAGAAAUUUGUGUGUGAAGAAGCAGAUAGGGCACUCAACACAAUGGUGGAGUCCAUUACUCCUCUGCCUCUGCUCCAAAAGCUUAAGACAUAUGUUAAACACACCAACCCUAGAAUCAGGGCCAAAGCUGCCAUUUCCAUAUCCAUAUGUGUCACCAAGAUGGUAACAUUAGUCAAUACAUGCAGCCUGUAUCUCUUAUUUUAUUGUGUUGCUAAUACUUUGCCGUUUUAGUGUCUAACAAAAUGAUAUCAAUAACUUUCAGGGCCUUGAAGGAAUGAAAGAGCUAGGGUUGGUUUCGUUGGUUCAAGUAGCUGCAGGAUUGUUGAAUGAUAGACUGCCUGAGGCUAGAGAAGCGGCAAGAAGUAUGGUGAAUUCAAUGUACAAUGCAUUUACGGAAAAUGAAGAACAUAAGCAAGAGGCAUGGCAGAGCUUCUGCCAAUCAAAUUUACAACCCAUUGAUGCUCAGUCCAUGGUCAAAAUUAUCACUUCACAGUAGAGUGGAGGAUGUUGCUGUCUAGCAGGAGGAGUUCCAAGUUCUUCUAGUCUUGUGAAGAAAAGUUUUCUAUUUCAUUAAUGAUGUGAAUGAAUCUGUCUUUUCUAUGGUUAUAUUUGAGACGACGAUGUUGAAAUAAUGUGGUCAAUUUUCUAGUAUUUUUUUUCUUCCUCCUCGCUGAGAAAAUGGCGAAAAAUCACGGAUGCAUAUCUAAAUGAUCAGUUCUUUUCUAUUUCUGCAGUAAGAAAUUUUUUUGGGAAAACUUCACAGAACAAACCUCGCACAUGAACAAAUACCCCUAAUAAUUACAGAUCUGAACAAUGACGGAUGUUACAGAAAAACCAACUAUAAAAUUCAAAUAUGUAAAGCAAAAUUGGUCAACAAUGCUGCAAAAUUGCUCCACAGCCUCAUUGCAGGUGCUUCUUGCAUAAAAAAUGUUUUGAAGAGCCCCGGGAUCUAUCUGUAAGGUCAUGUGUCCAUAUCUGAAGUUUAACUUUGCGCACUCUAGAAGAACAAACAGGUUCAUAAAAAUUAGCAAAUGAAUUAUGUUAAAUUUCUUGUGGAGGCACCAUAAUUAUGUUCAACUAAAGAGAGCAAAGCCUUCUCAACAUCCGCAAAUGGCUGCCCAGCAUAAAGCUUAAGCUGGCCCUUCUUCAGAACAAUCACCUUCUUAGUAUUUGAUUUCACAGCUGCAAGAAGUUCCUGCAAAAAAUUUAAAUUAUUUCCAUGCACUGAGUGUUUGAUUUCACACCUAAUCUCUCUCCUCACCAAACAAGUAUUUCCAAGGUUCAUUAAAGUGAUCAGAUAACUUUGAUCUAUUCAGAAAUAAAGUUAGAAUGCUUACUUUUACCGGCAGAGGAAUGAUGUCAGUACUAAAAUCCCCUAGAUCUUCAAAAAAUGAUUCAAGUAGGUGACAGAAGUGAUUGGCAUCAACAUGGUUCUCAAAAACAACAGUAUAGGAAGCAUUAUCUUGGUCCUGCACCUCUGAAGCAGUUCUUAAUGCAAAAAGACCCUCUGCUCCUUCUUGUUCAAAACCUCUUCGCAUAACAAUAGCCUGGAGUUGAAUAAAUAUCAGCCCAGUGCUCAGAGGUGCAUAGAUUUUACAAAGGACAUGCAAAACAGAAUCAGCCAGUUGAAAGCCAACACUAAGUCAAUGCUUUCAACUGGCUUUAUAGAGAGCAAGAUUAGAUGAUAUAUAUGAAAACCAUUUUGGAUUUAGAAAGGAAAACGAGGAUGUUAUAUCAAUGGCAAAAAGAUGCCCUUAAGUUUGACAUUAAAAUCACCAUAAGUAAGAUAAUAAUGAAGGAGACAAUAAAAACUACUCCUCAACUGUAACGUUAUCAAUAAGUACCUGAUACGAGUACCUAAUUAUUCACACAAUUAGAGAAAGAUGCAUCUAAAGCCAAGGCUUGAUUAUAUAAAUAUACUUUUUAAUUCUCCAACAAUUUAAAAAGUUGAAAAGUUUCGAUAACCUACAAGAACAUAAGGAAGAUUUGACCACCAGAAAUCAGACUUGGGAGCUGAUUUAUUAUCUCUUGUUAUGUCGGCUGUUGGCUUGUCCUGCAAUGCUCCUUGUUGUAAACCACCAUUUCUUUCCAACAUGCCAUCUUUUUUGGAUUCUGCAGUAGAUUCCUGGCUUUCUUUCGUGAAGUUCUGUGAAUUUUGCAUCUUCAAUUUUGAUUUUCUAGGUCUCACACCUUCAACUGACCCUUGACUAGUCUCCUGAACAGUGCCUAAAAAUUUGAUAGUGAACCAGGCAAGUACAUGAUAUCAGCAAAAGAAUAUUUAGAAUCAACUGAUGGUAGAAAAAACACAUUAAAACAUUUGCAUAACAAUUUUCAAAUUAUCAUCAUGUAAUUCAUCUUCCCCUAUUUAUGUUUUCAUCAUAAUUGUUCCCAUCAAAAGUCCAAAUAAAACAAAUUUCAAUAUUCAGUCCAUUAACAACUGAUAGAUCAAGAAUCCAGAUAUUGUAGCAUAAUUACAAACAUUUCACGAAACAAAACAAUGCAAUUAAGAUGAUCAAGUAAAAUAACAAAACUAUCAAUAACAAUUUAUGAAUCUUGCAUGGAUAAGACUCUUAGAACCAUUACCAAACCUCGUGUCACUAUUGUCUCCAACUCCCAUCUUCUUUGGCAUUUUCUCCAAGCUCUUCCCAUCAUUUUGCAAGAAAUUUGAAUUUUCACCAGAACUGCUUGCCCACAAAUCACUAUUUGAGCCUGCUCUAUCAUUCUUCCUAUUCACAUUCGCCUCACGGCUGCCCAAACUAGAGAACCCCUUAGCAUCACUUGUCAAACUCAUCGAAGGGCCUCGAAACCUAAGCUUCUUCUUAAACAUUAAGGUCUUAUUUGAAUCUUUUCCCUCCUCCUCAUCAUCCUCAAACUCAUCCAAAACAUCUAUAGACAACCCUGGUGACUUCCCAUUUCUAGAAUUAUACUUCUUCUCCACCUGAUCCAAUCUCGCGCCAAUCUCAUUCUCAAUACCAAUUCUACCCUGAGAGCUCACACUUUCAUCAUCACUACCACCCUCCUCAUCACCAUUUCUCAAUCUCCUUUCUUCAAUCUCUCGCGCUUCCCUCGCCAUUGCCCUAAUUUCGUUUAUUUUAUCUUCUACAGUUUUAUCCAUAAAAGACAUAUUUUUUUCCAUCGAAAUACUCCCUUUACUUCCCCCAUUAACACUAACACCCUUAGAAAAACCAUUCGCAUUCUUAUUCUUACUCUUCUCCUCAGAAUCUUCCUCUCCUAGAAUCCAAACAGUACAAAUUGCUUGUAACAAAAAAAGCACAACAAAACCCAACCCAAAUUGUAAGAUGGACUUUGCCGAAAUUUUACCAAAAAUGCCGCUGUUUUCUCGAGCGAGACCCUGGGUUUCCAAAACCUGAAUUUCUUUUACGUCAUCGACUAGCGGGGCAAUUUCCUCGAUUUCAUUAACGGAAGGCUCCUCAGAAUAUCCGGCGUCGUUUUCAGGUUGGGGUGCUAUGAUGAUUACGGGUUCUAAUCGCCGCGGUUUAGUUGGGGUUUUGAGGAUUUUGGGGCGAAGGUAGUUUUUUCGCUUAGUGAGUCUCCUCGGUGAGAGUGCGGUGAAAAUUGAAGAUGAAUGGGGUGACUUUAGUGAUUCUUGUGGCGUGGUGGUGGCGUUUGUGAGGGAGGCUGGGAGGUUCACGGAGGCGAAGUGGGCCCCAGCCAUCGGAGUUGGCACUGCAGUGUACAAGAGACGGCGAAAAUGUUACACGACGUUGUCGCGAAUUUUACUCAUGCUCGGCUGAAAGAUGUUGGGGAAAGAUGGCUGGAUCCAUGGGCCACGAGUGAAAAUGAGUAGGCUGGGCUCAGAGGUCAGUACGCAGCCCAAAGGCCGGCCGGAUUUUGGACUGAGAGUUGGGCAGUUGGCCUCCCAAAAUUUCACACUACAUGCCACGAAAAUGAUGGAUUGAUGAUGGUUUUUAUAUAUUUUUUUUUUCUAAGAAAAAGAAAAUAUCAAAUAGGCGAAUUUUAGUAUUUAAAUUCAAUAAGGUUGUCCAGAUUCGUGCUCGGUUAAACUAAACUAACAUGAUGUGGAAUUCAAAAAAAAAAAAAAAAACUAACAUGAUGUGUUAGUCACUUGAUCCCAGCUCAAAUAUGAAGUUAAAACAAAUAUUUCAAGUGAAGAGGAGGAUGCUGUUGCUAUGAAGUUUCCUUAAUGAUGAAGAACAAGAAGAAUGCUCUAUAAAGGUUGAGAAAAUUUUGAUUUAGGAUUGGUCGUGAAUUUCAUCAUCAGAUGGUUGUGUGAGAUUAAGGAUGAAUGUAUAAAUUUAAUAAUGUAUUAUGCAUCAUGUGUAUGUCCUCGAUUUAACAUUGAAGAACAUUUUAUGAUCACCAUGAACGAAGUCACGAACCUUUAGUCAACCGACGACAAAAUUCGGCUGAAGUUGAACAGCAAUUUUUUGAUGGUGCAAUUUUUUUCGAUCACCCACGUAAACAGAAACUGUGUGUUUCGGGGGGGGGGGGGGGGGGGGAAAUGCUAUUCUACAUAAAAAAUAAGGACUAUCUUCAACCUUGAUCGCACGGCUGAAGUUGCACCAUCAAAAUCAAUCACAGAACUUUGACAAACGUGUGGUUCAAGAGGCCAAAAUUUGGCUUUCUACUUCUACUAAAGUCUAAUGAAGUCCCGUGUUUGCAGACUCCCACAUCGGGUAAAUAAAAGAAGGAGAACAGGCGAGUAGAGAAUAAAAGCGAAGCUGAGACGAUUAGCAAAGCAUACCUUUCUCGGCCUUUUGGCUAAGAUCAAGUGUAGUAUCUGUUCUUAUCAGUUUAAUAUCUGGUAUGUGGGCCAUCGGUCCACACGAUAUUAAAUUAAUUUUUGUAGGGGGAGGGUCCGCAACGGUAGCUUGCUAUCGGGGUCCUCAAGCGUCGCUCUUGCGUUGCACUACUGCAAGAGCCUGGCGCACCCCACCAACCCUAGUAUAAAUUUUGUGGUGCUUGAUUAGGCUUGAGCAAUAGGGGAAUUCAAAUCAGAAUCGACUAUUCUCAUGAAUUUACUUAUUUAUUUAAGAUAUUAAUUGAAUUGUAGUAAGUUAUUAAAAUAUUUCUAGUUAUUAUUAUUUUUAUUAAUCAGUAAUAAUAAUGACUAUACCGUAUAGCGACUGGAUCAACUGUUGCUAAUAGUUUUAAUCAUUCCUAUAGGCGGUUGGCUGGUGCGGGGCGGAGAUCUGGAACAUGAUUUUGAUUGUGGUCGGAUAAAAGUUAUAAUAUAUUUUUUAUUAUUUAUUAUUUUUAUGUGAUUGUUAUAAUAUAUUUUUUAUUAUUUAUUAUUUUCUAUCUAUUAUUAUUAUUCGCGCUCUACUUUAGAGCAAUUUCAAAAUAACCACAGCCUUACUAGUAGUGGAUCGAUUAGGGUACUAGAGAUUUUGAUUUCCAAUUUUUAAAAUUUUUAAUUUUUGAAUUGAGGAUAAUUUGGAUAUUUUUAAAAUUUAGUGAGGGUAAAAUAUUCAAUCUAAGAAAUGAGAUUAUGAUGCAUCAAUUAUAGAGUUUAGUUUUACUAAAUAAAUGAUAAGAUUAUUUGAACCCAUUAAUUUACUCAACCCAUGAUUCAAUAGAAUUUUUAAUUACCAAUUUAUCCACAAUAAAAUUACAUAUAAGACAAUAGAAUUUAAUCAAAUUAAACAAAUAAAAACUAUAGUUCAAUUACACUUAUUUUUUGAUAAAUCAUAUCUACUCUCUCUCCUGCACAUAGAUUCAUUAUUUAAUCUCCUAUUUUUCACGUUCCUACAAUUUAAACAUUUGAUCAAAAUUUAAAUGCUACAAAAGUUUCAAAAAUAAAAAGGAAAAACAUGUCAAAUAGUAUUUGCAAACAAAUUCCCAAUAUAAAAACCUAUAAUUCUUUCUUCAGUUUUUACUGGAGAAAGAACUUAAUGUUGCUGUCUUUGCUUCUCUUCUUCUUUACAUAAACUUUCUAAUAAUCAAGGGAAAAAAAAGCAAACAAUUACACCGGUUGGAUAUCGUAUAUCUCAUGUUAACCUACACUAUGAAGACGUUAUUUUAUAUUAUAAUUCUUUCGUUAAAGGCUUAAAGCUGAUAGUAUUAUAUGUGAAGCAAAACCACAAGGGCCGCGGAGGACAAAAAAAAAAGGUUCAAUUUGCCCUUGGUUUUAAGAUGGUGGCCCCUAUUUAGGCUUUAAUCUCUUAUCAAUUAAUUAAAUAUAAAUUGAAUUUUAUAUAAUUUUAGAAAAGAUAUCAGCUGUUUUGGAGAAACUAAGAGAUUGACGUCUUUAGAAUAAAGAUAAAGAAACUAAAACGGGUGUAAAAAAAAUAAAAAAAAUGUUAUUUUAGUUGAGGUUAUUUUUAGAUUUUAUGCCCUUAGAUCAAUACUGCAUAAUAUUUGAGAUUCAACUGUUUGGAUUACAAUAAUUGUGGAUUUGAAAAAGCAUAAGAUUACUAUUAACUAGAUCAAAUUUUAAUUAUUCUCUUGAUUAGAUGCGGCUGAGAUGAAAACAAAAUAAUAAAGACCUUCGGAAAAUCUCUUUUUGGCAUUGUGGAAAUAUUUAUAUUCUAAUGGCUUACGAAGCAUACACGUGUCCUAUGCUAGCCAAAACAGCCAAACACAAGACACACCAAGUACCAAUACCCGGUGGCCUUUGUCCCAAAGCCCACCCUUCAUCUCCCGGCUUUUUGUAUGUACUUGUGUGUUUCGUGGCUCCAUCACUUGCCACACCAACCUUUUGUUGCAACCAACAUAUCCUGUAACCGCGCUCUUAAGUCUAAACCGCAAAACCAAAACACAUAAGGAUUGACAAAAAAAUAAAAUACAAAAUGACAAAACCCUAAAACUCAUCAUCACCAAAACCCAACCGUUUCAUCUUUUUGGUUUGGUAUCUCGUAUCUGCAUUCUGUCUUUGGGAAACACAAAAACACAAGACCUCAAC